GGUCAUGACCAUGAAAAGAAAACAUAGUUUUGCGUUGUGGCGAAAGGGCUACAAUUGUAACUUUAGCAUUAAUUAGUGUAAAAUGCAUUUUUACAUGCCCAAAUUCUGAUCUACCAUGUCUAUGCACUUGCACUGGCCGGCUGGAUAAUGACGAUGAACCCACUAGCUAGUAGCUAGCACAUGAUUCUGUACACAUGCAUGAUAGAAAUAAAUGUUAGGAAUAUUCAAAUUCUGAGUGUAUAGCUUGGGAAUUAAGCGAGCCCUCUAUAUUCCUACUUUCUCAUCAACCCAUGCAUGUGUAUAUAAAAGACUUAUAAGAAUGCUAAUUUCACUAGAGCAAACCAAGUUUUGAGCCUGCAACUGACAAAAUGUCGGACUUUGCUGCUGUUAAUGGUUAUUCAGGUUAUAAUUAUGGUCCUCCUCCAGUCCCUAAUUAUAAUCCUGGAUACUAUAAUAAUAGCUAUCCAUUAUUAGUACAGUCUGCUCCACCUGCUCAUGCUCCAUAUCAACUGCAUGGAUACCCUAAUAAUAACUAUUAUGCUCCUCAGCCUCAGCCUCAGCCUCAGCCUCCAUCUAAUUAUGGAUACUAUUCAGCACCGCAGCCUCAGCCUCAGCCUCCAUCUUAUGGAUACCAUCCAGCACCUCAGCCUCCAUCCCCUGUUGCUCGACGUCCCAAGGCCAAGAAUGGAAGAACUGGCGGCAAACCAAGCAGCAGUGAAGUUUACACCAUCUCUAGGAAUCGAAUCAGUGGAAACAAAGGGGACCAUCAUGGAAUUUUCAAUGUUGGCAACAAGCAUGGUCGUCGUGACAUUGAUGAAGAAGAAGAAGAACAGGAAGAAAAUUGAAUGCACGAGUUUAGGAAAUAUAUAUAUUUAUAUAUGUAACUUCUUCUAUCUCUUCCUUGCCAAAAUAUAUAUGCGUUAAAUAAUAAUUAAGAGAUGAUAUACUACGUUGUCCGAGGUUGAUAGACCUCCUCAAACUUAAAAUAAGACUACUUAUCUACUGUACUUUUAACGACAAAUUCUUUAACUUGGCUGAGCAGCUUCACUUACUCCACCUGAAUUACGGGUACCGUCACACCGAAAAAUUAAUCAUCUCCCUCACUUAGUUAAUUUAUAGAUUGCUAGAACGAAAAUUAAUUUCAAUGAAUUUGAAUAUAUAAGAUCAGAAAUUUGAACGGGUGGAUGUGGCAGAGUCUUGAAACUGACUUACUCUAAACAAUCUAUUUAACAACUAUACGUACCCAAGAAUCUUGAUGUAUAAUCAAAAUCUAAAGUCACUGAACCAAUUAACAACUGCAGAGAAGUGGCGGACCUAUUAAGGCGCAAGCUCUUAUCGGAAAAACCAUUGUAGGUGCUUCAAAUUGUCCAUCUGCUCAGCUGGUGGUGAUGCACUCUAGGUGUUCGACAAAAUGACUUAGCCUUUGAACUAGGCCAAAAAGGAAAAAAAGAGAAGGAAACUGGACUGCAAUUCAUGGGCUUUCAACAACAUGCUUAGGCCUGCAUUUCGUGGGCUUUAAAAAGACUUUAAACAUGUUUUUCUUUCUUAUUUAAACAAGAAUUGCAGGAUUUUAAAAAGAAGGAAAUCAAUUCGUUUGUUAUUGCUGCGUUUUUUUUACUUCUUCACCAAAAGUAAGCUUGCUGUGCUGCCCUUUUUUUUCCUUCCUUCAUUUCUUCUUUUUUUCGUUUCUUCUUUCUUCCCCAUCACCCCACCCCAAAAACACCAAAACACCCCCCCCCCCCCCCCCCCCCCCCCCCCCCCGCUUUUUGUAAUCUGCUUCUUAUUUUAUUUUUUUUCUGAUUUGGCUCUUUUGAUCAAUAUUCAAUAGCAAAGUCAAGGAGGAAGAGGCCACGCGACACAUAACUCAAGGUAUAAUCAAUAUAAUUUUUUUAAUUGAUUCAAAUUUUUUUUAUAUAAAGCUUUUAGUCUUUUCAGAAUUGCACAUCCGCUCAAAAAUUCAUGGGUCCGCCAAACUCCAUGAUGAAAGUCGAUAGCCAAAAUUAUUAUUGUUAUGGUAAGGGGCUUAUAGCUUAAGUGGUCACAUGAAGUCAUAGGGAUGGACAAUGAGGGAUUUUGGUCCUCCAUGGAUGGAUGGUGAGGGAUUUAAUUUAAUUAAAUUUUCGAAUAACUAAUUCAUUCACUAUAUAUCUUUGAAAAUUCAACUCUUACCGUGUUAUAUAAUUUUCAAUUAAGUGGUACAUAAUUCUUCCCAUAUUAUCUGUGUACAUUCUUAUAGGGAUUAUUAUUUUUUAAAAAAGCAUUUUUUCCCAAAAAAAAAAAAAAAAAAAAAAAAAAAAAAAAAAACCCUAACAAUUAAGUUAAAAGAGGAGGUCUAGCAAAUCCACAGAAUAAGUUCAAAGAAGUAAUUUGAAUUGAAGUUACUUUUGUAAUUGACCAGCCAAUUGCCUAGAUCACUUGAUCGUUGCUGAGUCAUCAGACCCGGAUUGUUCCAACUCGUCAACUUGAUUAUUACUAUUUUUUAAUAUUAUUUUAAAUAAAUGUUUUACUCUUGUAAUUGUGUUAAAAAGAUCUAUCAUUCCUAACACACAACUUUUAGGGGUUGAAAUUUGACCGAAAUUUCUAGAAACAUUGGUGUAAUUAAGUCUAAUUAUUAUCAAGCUUUUGAGUGUUGCUAUAUAUAAAUCAAAAUUGUGUUCUUUGAAAAAUGAGAAACUUAUCUUUAGUUCCACCUAAAAAUAAAAAUAAAAUAAAUCUUUUGAAUAACGAGGAGGGAGGAGAUUGUAAUUUGCAUAUAUGUGUUUAAAAUAUAACUUACCAUUAUGGAUGCUCUUAGAAAUAUAACUCACAUACAUUUCAAUUGGGAAUAUCAUAAUAUAUAGCUUGGCAAUGAAGCUGACACUUAUAUUCGGAUUCCUCCACUGUAACCAUCUCUAUGCAUGAUGAUGUGUUUAAAGUGGACCAGGCAUGCGCUCUUCGGCUUCCAACAAACACAAUGACAUUUAGCCAUAUGUGGAAGGCGUUGUGCUGGCGCAACAACAACAACGACACUCCAGAGCCAUCUUCCAAAUACAAUCCCAACCCUCCAGCUCCUGCUGCUCCUACAAAAGCAGCCCCAUGUACCAAUCCUGCAGCACAUGAUCAUGAUCAACCAGAUGAGAGUGAUGAGGGCUUAAAGCCACCACAUGAUAGUUCCUCCUCAGGUGCUGGGGUUGAAGAUCAACCAGCUACAAGCCCCUCGGAGCCCAAGGGUGACAGAAAAAAGAAAGGGAAAAAAAAGGGGACUGCUGGGAGAUCAGACUGUGAUACUUUCGACGUUCGUGGGAAUACCAUUACCGGAUGCAAAGGCGGUAAGAUCGGAAUUUUCGACUUUGGCAACACCUAUACAUGAAUCAAUCAAGGCUGAAAGAAAAGCUGUUGAUUAUAUGAAGACGAAGAUUAAUUUAUUUGUAGAAUUAAUCAUGAGAGAUUAAUUAGUUAAUUUGGAUUUGGGUCCUCUCUGUAAUUUUGAUAAUCUUGUAAGUUGGGUUGGGUGUUUGUGGAUAUUGAUGAUCUUGUAGGGGCUGCUAGUAUUGAUAUGAAUUUUGCUUUCGGUAUUGCUGAUCACAUGUUUUACAUAGAUAGAAGAAAUAGCACUUACACAUGCGAUAAAAUAAAAUAAAAUAAAGAGUUUGCUGCUCACUUCUCUUAUUUUAAUUUUUAAGAACAGCACUUGGGGAUCGAAAGAAACCAACGGUAAUUACAUGUCAGUGUUAAGGGUAUUUGUAGUAUUAUACCCAGCGGAAGUAUCGAAAUUGAGGUUAUACUUUGGCUCUUUAGUUGGGAAGAACACCCCAAAGUGUCUCUCUGUUUCUUCACCUAGUUUGUUAUUCUCAUCAAACAUGGCAAACAAGUAAGUCUCUAUGGAUCUUUUAGGUCUCUUUGGGGUACCCUCUUUCACAUGCCGAAUCAAAUUCGAGUAAUAAGUCCUCGCAUUAUCCGUUGAUGCCCCAAACGCACCUGCCGAAGGCCACCCACUUUCCGACACAACAACCUCCAAAGAUCCUCCUCCAGCUCUCUCAACAGCAGAGUACAAAGCGUCCAGCAUUGCAUCAAACAGGUUUUGGUACCCUUUAUCACCAUCCCAUGCCAUAACUGACGGUGAAGUGAACAAAGCAUAAGGAAGAGAAAUAUCUCUAGGAUUUCCAAUAUAACUAAAAUAUGUAUAGAUGUUAGCAAGUAGUGGUGAUUUGGCAUAAACCAAGAACCCUAUAAUUGGGUCCAAAUAAGCUCUCACAUCGCCGCGAAAAGCGCCUUGUGACGGAGGGUAGGAGUUGCCUAUCAAUCCAGUCUCUAUGGCAGUUGAGACCUUGAUUUGGUCUUGAAGGCCAGCUGAUCUGAUUGCGUUGUAUAUGUUCUUCAUUGCGGGGAGGACAAAUUGAGCCAGCCUAGUAGUGUCUCCAUAAACCGGGCUCACUUCGUUUCCAACCGCAAUGUAUUUGAAUCUCACGCUUUGCCGGAAGUUCAAGACAUUUGUUUGUACCCAUGUUUGCGCUUCGGAAGGGUUGGUUGCGAGGCGUUCAAGGUCUUGGUUUGGGACACCAAGCAUGAGCUCGAUGUUGGAGCCUUGAAGAGCUUGUAGAGCGGAUUGGUUUGGAUCGUAAAUUCUCAUUUGUUUGAUGUUGUUUGAUUUGUAAAGAGAUAUAACUUCUGCGUGGGAUGGUAGAUUGUUGCCCAGCAUUCCAUAACAUACACCUACGGAUUGUACACCUGCAUAUAUAUAAAUAUACGUCCGGAAAAUUUGUUAUGUGCGUAUACGUAUACGUACAUCAAUACAUUACUUAUUUACACAUAUUAUACAUCAAGAAAAAUUUUAAUUAUAGGAUAUAUAUGCAUCUAUUAAUCAACAUUGACUAGUAUUUUUCUCUAAUAUGCCAAAGGAAAUAUAUGGCAAAUUGAAUGAGGUAUACGCUCAGACCUGUUAUACCAAGGUUCGCCACCAGGAGCCCCAAAAGAAGCAUUAUAGUAGUGGUGAAGGGAAUGGACGUAUUGCUUGUUUUAGAUGUGGCCAUGGCCAUUGAGAAACGAACAGCAGCAAGGCAAUAAUAUUCAGAUUUCGAGUUUCAGCUGGCUAAUUUGUGUUAUGUUAUCUCCAUUUGGGUUUUAUUUAUAGAUAUCAUGAUGAAGCUAGCUCUCUGUAGCUAGCUAGCUAGCCUGAAUAUAAAAUCCAUCUGCACACUUAUCCUCCUCUGAAUUUACUUUUCAAAAUGGCCCAUGGCGUCGUUUCCUUUUAUUAGUUUGUGGUACACAUUGACAUUGUCUGCUGAUAAGUCUUGGAAAGUACAAGGUUUUUCUAAGGUUUUUUUAGGUUAACCACAUGACAUAUUUAUUGACAUUGUCUCCUAAGUCUUGGAAGGUAGAAGGUUUUUCUAAGGUUUUUCUAAGGUUUUUUAGAUUAACCACAUGACAUACCUUAUUGACAUGAGAUAUGUUGGCUACGUAGGCAAAAUUAUUUUAAAAUAUUCAAUGUUAGUUAAAAUUAAAGUGAUUCUCUGUGAAAGUGAUAAUUGGCAUAUUUAAAAUCACUCCCAAACGAGUCGUCGUUUGUUUAGUGUUGAAUGUUGGUGAUUGGCAACAUGUGCGCAUGCACCUAUAAUACAGAAAACAUUACGUGACAAAACAUCUAACUAUCUUUUUAGUUAAUAGCUUUGUGCCUAUAUUAAUCAAUGCCAUUGACUUUAUCACUUUAGUUAGCGCGCGCCACCAUGAGGCGGCUAAACUUCAAGCCUUCAAGAAAAGGCCACUGAACCUCUUUCUUAGUACUAUUGAAAGACGUAUAAGUGGAAGAUGGCCUAAAAUACCUAACAAAGUUAAUUAAGUCACAGAGAGGUUCCUUGACCUAAUUGACUCGUCUUUAUCUCUUACAGUAAUUAGUGAUCAAAUUGAUAGAAAUUCUAUAGGAUAAGUAGAUAACACGACAAAUGACAAAGAAUGUCACUAUGAUUAAGGGUUGUUUAGAGUAGAUUAUGAACUUGGGCUUGGUUUUUUCAGGAUAUAACUCAAAUUUCCAUAUAUCAUGUGCUUGAGUUAAGGUUUUUUUGGGCUCAAAUAAAGAUUAAUAAAGAGUGAUUUUACCCAGACAACUCAAACUUUUAAUUUAUGUCAUUUGUUAAAAUUUACAAAAGGCUUAUAGCUCAAGUGAUUGAAAGCAUUUACUCAUACACUCGAGGUUUUGAUUCCUCAUUCUCUGAAUAUCGUUUUUAUAAAAAUAAAAAGUAAUAAAUAAAUAAAAAGGGAUAAAAAGCAGGGCUUGGUCUCUUAGUAGUGGGCUUAGUUAUUUAUAUUCUCUUGACUUGAAGGCAAAGUUUGAUCCUUUAGGCUCAGAUGGGCUUGAUCCAUUUCCAAUUUUGGCCCAAAGAACAUGAUUUCAAAAGGUCUCGCCACAGCAUGUAGCCCAACUUAAAUAAGUCGGAAAUAAAUUGCUCCCAAAUUUGUAUUGCAUUAAAUCCUUCCGGCAUUAAAGAAGAAUACUAUGAAAACACAAUAAAACACAAAUAAUACUACUCUUACUAUAUUUGUAUAUCACAUUCUCAUAUCCUUUUUUUUUUUUUGAAGACCUUUCCUAUUGAAAGGGGCGAUAACAUAUUAAACUCACACACACAACACGGAUGCUAGGAUUCGAACCCUGGACCUUGCUUGAGGGAAUAAAUACUUCAAACCACUACACUAGUGGGUUCUUUGCAUUAUCAUACCACUUUAUGUGGCAGAUGAUGUAUACAACCACAUCAAUUAAAAAGUGCCAAUAAAUCAUAAAAGAAAAGAAAAUAUUCAAUUAAUUUUAAUUGAUGUGAUUGUACACUUCAUUUGUCACAUAAGCUGGUAUAUGAAUAUAGUAAGAGUAGUACAACACCACGUAUCCUUUUUAAGACUUCUUUUUCCACCACAUACACCAAUGCAUUCAUGACUUUUGAAACAAAGUUUUGCAAUACUAAAUCAAGCAACGAGGACAAACCAAUACACCAACCUUAAAGAUAAAGGGACUGACAGCUAUUCGAACCAGGCAUGACCAAAUUUCUCCCUUAUAUGUUAUACAAGUUAUAACAACUUAGAAAAUAAUUUCAUUUUGCAAGAAUUGUUCAUCAAAUUUAUAAAAGUUUGUAGAUAGCACAAGCAUGUACCUUUAGACACUUCUGAAAGAUACAAGAAGAAGCAUAUAUGCAAUUCUCAUCAAACCAAUUUCAUUGUAGGAGAUGAUCUGAUUACUUGCUAGCUAUUAAUUGUUGUAGGUUUUGAUAACUCAUUGAUCCAUAUAUAUUAAUGUUUUGAAAAAUUGGUAUGACUAGGGAGGCCCCAACCAAAGCAAGACUUGGACUUUUAAUGGGCUUCGCUUAGAGAUGUUAUGGGAAAAGUGAAGCUUCUAAGUGACAAGUUAUUUCUAAAUUGAGAACUUCUUACAUGGUACUAGAGAGCUUAGUUCAUUUUAAUACGUUUAUUUUAAUGUAGUCAUAUUGUAAUUUCAAUACUAUUUAAGUAUAUAAUUGUGUUAUUCUAGUGGAUGUAUAAUUUCUUAUUGGUUUUAUAUGUAUUUCUUUUAAUGUUAAAGUCAUUCUUUACAGCUUUCGUUGUCAAGGAACUGCAUUUUCAUUAUUUUUUGACGGUUAAAAUAAGUCAACAAAGAGCUUACCAAUGUCAAGAAAUAGGUAAGUUGACAGUUAAAAAGCGUCAAAGAUGACCAUCGGUGUUUGCAAUAUCGUGACAGCUUUAUCUGCCAGGGAAAAUUUGUUCUUGACGGACGAAAAAGGUCAAGUAUGUGAGUACCGCUUUCCUGACACUGGCAAUUCCAACCGCGAAGCUAUUAUGAUUAAAGAGGAAAUUGAUAGGAGUGACAACGCACUGGAUUUUCCUGUUUCAAAUGCAGCUAUGCUAGGGCGACGAGGGCCUCUAUGAAUUCAAAGGUAUUACCAACUUCAACAACAGCUUUCAUGUGGACGACGCGCGCCUUGAUAAAAUCAAAGCUAAUUAAGGGAAACAUGCACUGCGAAGGCGGCAUGAGCAAUUUUUUCAACAACUGGAGAUGGCAAAAGGUCAUCAUUCAGGGCAAUCAAAUGAACGGGAACAGGGGCAAGACUGACGGAUUUAACAAAAAUUUUAACACCUACUGAAUAAUAGUCUGAAAGCAUUUAUGUCCAAAAACAAAAACUCAAAGCAUUCUGUUGGUUUAGGAUAUUUGUUCUGUUCUUACAAUAUCAUGCUUGUGUUAUGUUUGAAGCUAUGUUGAAAAAGUAAUUUUUUUUUAGUACAAGCGAGAUAGUCUAAACUAAAGGGGAGGGUGUUCUCACACACACACAAAACUAAGAUGUCAUAGGAGUUUAAACUUGAGACCUAUUGUCUACAAGUCAAACCACUUUUUCAUUGGGUUAGACUUUGUUAGCUUAAAAAUAUAUAUUUUUGAGUGUUAAAUAUCAAUGUCUUUUGAUAUUAAUUAUUAAUUGUUAAUUUUCAUAUUUAUUAAUCACCAUUUAUUAUUAAACUAUGCUUUUUGUUGUUGUUGAGAAAUGAUUAAAAAGGACCAGCUAAUUAUACUGUAAACUAUGUUUUUUAUGUCAAAUUGUUCAAAAAAUUAAAUUAUGAAGUUAUUUAAAAAGAUUAAAUGAAGAAAAGUUGUCCAUUUAUAAAAAAAAUUAGACUUAAACCAUUCUUAAAUAAUUUAAUAAAGUUGCAGACUUAAUUUUACUUAAAUGUUGAAAAGUAGGUGGCAUUCAAUUCAAAAUUGGGUUUUAUUUAAAUGUUGAAAAGUAUGUGAUUCUAACACAUAAGUAUAAAAAAAAAAAAAUUUUAAAAAAUUGUGACACAGUAAGAAGGGCCUAGUUCUUUACUUUCGCCCUGGGCUCUCAAAAACUCAAGGCCGGCCCUGAUGAAACUAUGAUUAAGUGCCUGUUUGGAUUGAUUAUUUGGGCUAAAAAGUGAUUUAUGAUAAAGUUUUUGAAGUUUACCUCGUUUGGUAAAAGAUGAGAUAAUCACUUUUGAGAGAAAAUAGAUGUCGAUAACCGUGAUUUUGGAAAGCAUCUCAAGGGCUAAUUUUAUUUCAGCUUUCACACAAAGCAAAACACGGAACUGGUGGUGUUUAAUGAAUUCUAAUGAAGUGCCUAUAAUAUCCUUGUUAACUUUCAUAAUUUACAUGAUAUAUCCCUCAUCUUCUUCCAAACCAGCACGUUCCAAUAUUCUUCAUCUUCUUCCCACAUAGACCAUCUCACAACGUUUCAAAAGUGAAAACCUCUCAGACCUUACUUUCUUAACUUCCUUAAAUCUUCCAAUAAACAUUUUGAUAAAGCAACCCAUUCCAACUCCUCCCAUUUUCAUUGACAAAGCAUUAUUGCACACAACAAAUUUAAAUCUUUGAAUAAUUUGAUAGAGCAAUAGAGGGUUUUUCAUCCCUAAACUUCAAUCAGCCAAAGAGAGGCAUAACUCUCUCUAUCUACCACGAAGUCUGGAUGCUAUAGUCAGCUAGGGUGCGGCCAUCCUGGAGCUUUUGGAGAGCAAAGAUCAACCUCUGCUAGUCUGGCAGAAUACUCUCCUUGUAUUGGAUCUUGGCUUUGACAAUGUAGACAGUGUGGGAGCUUUUUAGGGUAUUAAUUCUUAAGAUCAAGGUGGAUCUGUCUGUGGGAGGGUGGGUCAGGUGAGGCUAGGAGGGAGAGGGGUGCAUAGAGGGUUCUGUUUUAUUGUUUUAAGGUAUCUCUCAACAAAAUUAUUUAAUAAAAGAUUUGUAUAAUUGAAAGUGAGAAUGUUUUGGCAAAAAUAAAAGUGAGUUUGGUUUUUUUUUUUUUCAAUAUCACCAAACACUUAAAUAACAAAAAUAAUUUCUUCGUAUCAUUUUUAGUCAUUAUACAAAGCUCACAUCACUUUCACACACAAAAUUACCAAACACUCAGAAACUGAUUAUUGUACCGAUAUCACUUUUUACAAAAAGUUUACCAAACACCAAACUACUUUCUUUCACAGCUUAUUUAUCUCACAACAAAUCUGACAGUGAUUAUUUUCACAGCACAGCAAUGCCAAACUAGCCCUAAGAGUGGUUUAGUGUAGAUUAUGAACUUGGGCUUGGUUUUUUUUAUGAUAUAACACAAAUUUUCAUCUUUGAUGAGGCAUAAAUUAAGGGUUUUUAUGGGCUUAAAUUAAGUUUAAUAAGAGUGAUUUUACAUACACGUAAACUCAAACUUCUAAUUUAUGCCAUUUGCUAAAAGAUUGUAUGGUGAGGGUGUCAUAUAUGAACCAUAGAUGUAGACCUUCAUAUUAGCAACAUAAUUCAUCUAAAUAGUAAUUUCAUUUAAAUUUAAUAAAAUGAUCAUGUGACUAAUAUAGAAGUUCACAUAAUAGGUCCAUAUAUAACACCAUCACUAUAAAAUUUCGCACUAACUUGUAUAUUGUAGUCGACUGUCAACUAGGCUUUGUCUUCUUUUAUUUUUUAUUUUUUUUCAGGUGAGAUGGGGCCCAAAAAGGCCAGAACGAAAAGAACCAAACAACCGCUACUCUAGGCCUGGCCAGGCUGCAAACAUCAACAAGAAGGCUAUCACAAACAGAAGGAGGCGCCACCAGCUAAAACCUACGUAAGCCAGGCUUUGUCUUUGAAAAGUGGGCUUAGUUUUUAUUCAUUACCAUUUUGAGCCCAAAGAAUAUGAUUCCUCCUUUAUAACCCAUUUCACUCACGUUGGGCAAAGGUCUCACCCUAACAUUUAGCCAACUUAAAUAAUUUAUGGGAACUUCAUGGAGGAUUUCUUGAAUAAUUCGGGAAUAAUUUUCUCCCAAAUUUGUUAUGCAUUAAAUCCUUCGGGAAUUAUGGAAUAAUACUUAAUGAAAAUAUCAUAUCAUGAAGUGCAUUUUAUUUCAUAAAUAUUUGUGAAUUCCCACACAAAAAAUCUAAUAUUUGUGAAUUUGCCUUCAUCCUUCAGUAAAUAUUGUUAAUACAAAGCUACCCAAAACCAACAAACAUAUAUAUAUAUAUAUAUAAUUUAUUUAAAUUAUAUAUUUCAAAUGUUCAACAAAAAUCAUCAAUCCUGGCCAAAAAGAAAAGAAAAAAUAUUCCCUAAAAAUAAAGAAAAAGAAGCACCCAAAGGACAACCCAGAAAACUAGACGUUGUAAUAGAGAAGGCAAUAGGGCACACAGAUAAUCCUACGUGCAUGACUUGCAUUAUAAACUUUUGAAUUAUGAAUAUUUCUGUGUCAUGCAGUAACAAAGUACGAUAAAUUUUAAAAAACCGUACGUGAGUAAGUUUUCGUAACGAGAAAAAGUGAAAAAAAAGUACAUAUGGCAGGGCCAAUGGAAACCUAGGGCGACAAUACGACGUCGUCACACGUUGCACCGUAUCACGCAUGCGAAAUAUUUUAUAAUUUUUUAUUUGACCAAAGCAUCUACGGAAGUAGAGUGGGGCAUAAAGGUUAAAAACGCCUCGUUGAACCCCUUGUAUCUUCUCUCGGCUUCCCUUCGCUCUGAGAAAGAAAGAGAGACUGAGGAAAAAGCCCAACCAAAAACCCACAGAGCUAAGAGCUCCCUCCAAGAAUCUAAAAAAAUCCCCUCCUCUCGCACGUGCUGCACACACACUCUCAAAUUCCCAUCUUUUCUUUUUAAUAGAAAAAAAUUGAAUUGAUAUUUGUUCUUGGUUCCAAAUUUCUGAUAUUUGUAAACUCUCUCACCUUUGGAUCCCCACUGCUUUUCAUCAAAUCCUCCGGGCGGCGCCACACUACUCUCCUGAAACAUGUCAUCUUGAAGGUACUCAGAGAAAGAUAGUUUCUUUUUUUGAAUUUAUUUGGUGUAAUUUGGUAUUUUUGUUGCUCUCAGAAUUUAGAUAAGGGGUUCUGUUAUUGGGUAUGUUUUGGAUUUUGUGCUUUUUUUUUGCUUUCUUUGUGUAUGUGUGUGUAUUGAAUUGUAGUGCAGUGCAAAAGAAUUGAACUUUUAGGGUUUUUAUUGGUUGCCACAGAGGAAUGCAUUAUGGAUUCUGGAAUGUAAGGGUUUCAUGAGUGUAGUAUGGAGUUUUGUGUUUUCUGGGAUUGCCUAUCUGGUUAAAUGAAUUACAUGACUCAUUCAGCAGGUCAGUUCCCCCCCAGGGUAAUUUGAAUUGGUUAUUUCGAUGAGAUUUAAUUUUGGAGUAUUGAAUAGGUAUUCCAAUAACUUCAAUGCUAUCUAAUUUAGGUAUUGCAUAUAUGGUUUCGUGUGAAUGGUAAAAUGCAGUGGGACUUGUUUUGCAUUUUACCUUCUGGUUUAGUUUAGGGUUUUGGAGUUUGAGACUUAAGAAGUUUUGCUUAGCUAGAUGUUGUUCGUUGAUGCGCUAAAUCUUAGUAAGACGAAUGCAGAAUCCAUGUGUACCACUUUGUACCUUAGCCAUCUUCACUUACCUUGGUUUAAAAAUAAAAAAAUAAAAAAGGAAAAUUGCUGCUUCUUGUUAAAUACAUUGUGUUUGACAGUGAUGAUUGCAUAGUAAAUGGCUGAUCCUUUACUUGUAGGUUUUACAGGAGCUAUGGCUCUUCAAAAAUUUCCUUCUCGUGAUGCACCUUCUGUUACUAUGAAACCUUUGAGCUUUCUCAGUAAGGUGCAUGACAACAAUCGAUCAGAGGAUCUAGAGACAAGUCCUGCUAAGGAACCUGAUGUGGAUAUUGACCUCAGAGAAGUGUAUUUUCUAAUUAUGCAUUUUCUGUCAGCUGGACCAUGUCAUAGAACUUGUGUACAAUUUUGGAACGAACUUCUUGAACAUCAACUUUUACCUAGAAGAUAUCAUGCUUGGUAUUCAAGAAACGGCCUACACAGUGGGGAUGAAAAUGAUGAUGGAAAAUCAUUUCCAUUAAAUUACAACAUGUUGGUCCACAGGUAUGUAGUAUGCUUUUUUUAUAAAUCUCUCUUUACAAUAUAUAUAGGCAGUUUUUAGGCAAUCUUCUUUAUGUUUCCCUGCAACUUGUGAUGCUAAAUAUUAGGUGGCAUUAAUUGAUUACUUCUGGUAAUAAGUAAUAAUCUAUUAUUGUUGCUCUGUUGCUAACUUGCUAGGGAGUUCUGGUGUUUUGCUUUUCAGUUGUCUGGAGCAGGGGAUCUGCAUGGUGUUUGUUUUUAGUACGCCUUGUAGUAGCACAGUCUGGAAGGUUAUUCCUCAUUGUAGUAUAUGGUGUUUACGAAGUCAGAGGAAUACUUGGACCUUUGACUUUGCCACAAUGUUUAAAAUUUGAUAAAAUUAAGUAUAGUGAUAUAUAACAUAUAUGUAUAUAUAUUUGUAUAUACAGUAGUACUUUUUUUUUUCCCGCAAAUAUAAGAUCAAUCAAGUUUCUUCAUCAUAUAUUUGUUAAAUAUCAAAGUAGUACUCAAUGAUCCUUUGAUAUAAACUAAUCUAUUAUUGAGUCAUAACUAAAACUCUUGUCUUCCAUCUACUGAUGAAAGCAUUGUUUCAUUUAUUAAGUAAACUAUACAUCUGACGUGUUUAUUUAUUAUUCUUGUAUUUAAAAUUUAAAGGAGAUAACUAGUUUAAAGUACACAUCUGACUAUCCUAAAUAGAGACCUACUUCUAGCAUCCGCUUAGUGGAUAUAGUAAAUAAACAUUUUGAAAUACUCCUUUCAUUUCAUAUUAUUAUUCACUAUUUAUCUUCUUUUUUUUUUAAUCAUGUUGUUUUAACAAAAACAAUGAGAAAAUAGGCACAUUAUAAGUCAUGUUACAAUUUUGUUUUCCCCGGAGAAACAAUUCACCAACAACGCAAACAACAUGAGUUUUUUUAGCGCUGUUCAUGACUUUUGGGGAUCAUGUGAAACUAUCCAGAAAAUAAGGUCCUCUUUUCACUUCAUCUCUAUUCAAAUGGAUGCAAGUUUGGCAUCUUGGUCUUCUACCGAGGAUGUGUUGGUUUCUAUAGAUUCUAGAAGUUAGUUUCUUUUGGCGGUCCUCUUUCUAUAACCUCAAUGUAUAGGCACCCUUUUUCUUUCCCCUUAUAAAACCUAAUUGUGCCUUCUUGUUCUGUUACAUAAUUCUAUUCCAGCAUUCAUCAUGCCAGUCAUCAUAGUCUGUGAAGAAAAUAAGCAUGAUUGUAUUAUAUUUUUGUUUUUCUAUAUCAUUUUAUUGAUUCCCUUUCACUGUCGUUUAGGUAUCCUCACAUUGAAAAUGAUCACUUGGUAAAGCUUUUGAAGCAAUUGAUUUCAAGUACAGCCCCACCAUCAAGGGGUAUGUCUGGAGGAAAUGCUCCAAAUGCAGCUGAUGUACCUACUCUCUUGGGGCAGCGUUCAUUUUCACUUCUUACCUGUAGGUGACAUUUAUUUAAGCUUUGAGCUUUUAAUUCAUAUUCUUUGUGGUACCUUUUGUUGGAUGAAUUGUCUAGUAAGUGACCAAUGUUUUUCUUUUUUCUUUUUUGUUUGCAAUAUGUUUCUUAUAAUUUAUUUCAAGUUUCAAUACUGUUAUCAUGUUCAAUCAUCCAUGCAUUGGGGGUUUGAAUGUGUUUUCCCUCUCCUUUUGGAAGUUCCAUCUGCAACAUUUGCAUGUGUUUUACUGUUAUUAUCAUCAUUUUUCAUUUGAACUCCUGCAAAAGGUACAUUUUCCCAUUGUAUUUAAAAAGGAACACCUUCUCCCUUUCAGAUGAAAGGGAUCAAGUAAACAAAGAAAUGAAACGCCCUCCUGCUCACAUGCGUUGGCCUCACGCGAAAGCUCAUCAGGUUCAUGGGCUAAGCUUGAGAGAAAUUGGAGGAGGAUUCACCAGACAUCACCGUGCACCAUCUAUCCGUGCUGCAUCUUAUGCCAUUGCAAAGCCGUUGACCAUGUUUCAGAAGAUGAAAAAUACUACAAGGCUAAGGGGACAUCGAAACGCUGUUUAUUGUGGUAUGUGUUCUCAUAAAUCGGAGUUCAGAACUAUUAUCUAGGUACAUUUGGAAGUUUAGUUUACAUGUUUUUUUUGGAGUUUCUUUCUUAAGGGCACAAUUUUUUUUGUACCUCCAACAUUGGAGAGAUUUCUGUCUUGUUUAAAUUCUUAAUAUUCCGAUCUUGAACUAUUAAUGUUUCUGUCAAUUUCUGUCCACUCAUUUGGAGAGAAAAUGAGAUUUGUGCUUUGUUUACUUUUUAAUAUUCCAAAAAUAUCUUCAACUAAUGAUUGUUGCUUAAUUUCUGUCCAGACAGCCAAUAAAAAAUGAGAAAGAUAAAAAAAAACACUUCUAUAAUCUAUUCUCCUCCUCAUAUCCCUUCUCUUUGCUGGUCAUGUUCUCUUGGUGAUUCAUUUCAUUUUGGGAGUGUGCUAUUUAGCUUAUUUGAGAAACUGUGGCUCUAUUCAUCUGGUACUGUAAUAUUUUGGGAAUGCUUAAAGAUACUAAGAUACUGGCAAUAUUCAUGUCAAAGUUUUGGCUGACAUCAGUAACCUCUGUUCUUAUGUACAUAGAUUUUGGCUUGCUACAUUAUUCAGCUCUAUAUGAUUUGAUAGUUAAUUACCAGCAUAGGAUGGGAUAAUUCAUUCUCAGUGUUUUUAGAAUAGAAGGUUAUAGUCUUGAUUAUGGAUUUUCAAUCUAAGUACACAUCUUUAAAUGGUGUGAAUCCCAUUCUUGUAUGACGUUGAACUUCAGUUCUAUCUUCGUAUAGUUUCUUCUUUCUCCUUGUUCGGUUUAACUAAUAUUGAGAUCUUUUGUCUGCUGUUUCUCUCUAUCAAAUUUGUAGUGCACACCUUUAAAAUGUGGUAUAGUUCUCAUGGUGGUUUAUUUGGACAUGAAUGAUGCAGCAACAUUUGAUCGCUCAGGGAGAUAUGUUAUUACUGGUUCAGAUGAUCGCCUAGUGAAGAUCUGGUUAAUGGAAACUGCAUUUUGCUUGGCCAGCUGCCGUGGACAUGAAGUAAGUUGUUAUUGGCCCCUCAAAGAUUACUUAUCCGUUUUCCCCUUUAAUUUUACUCGUUUUAUGCUUUAAGGGAGACAUCACGGAUCUGGCUGUGAGUUCCAACAAUGUUUUAGUGGCAUCCUCCUCAAAUGACACUAUAAUUCGAGUGGUAAGGUUCAUCUGCGUCUAAAUAUAUAAGUUUUGUUCGUCUAUUUUGCAUUUUACGUUCUUUUUUUUAAACCUUUGCUGGACACUCAGUGUUAACUUACUAUAAAUUUUCAUGUUUACUAGUGGCGCUUGCCAGAUGGGCUGCCAAUAUCAGUGUUGCGAGGACAUACUGGAGCUGUUACUGCCAUUACAUUUAAUCCCAGGCCAGGCUCCAUGUACCAGCUUCUAUCGUAAGGCCAAUUCCUCUAUCAAUUUAAAUAAAUUUUCAUGUGGAGUUUCUAAUUAGCUGUAAGUAAUUUACGCUUCUGUCUGACCUUGCUGAUCCUUAUGUUGAUACUGGUUUUUCUUUGGGAGUCUAUCUAAACUAGUGAAUGCAUGGGGAAUUCAUUUUCAUAAUUUUUUUUUUUUGUAUGUCUCCCUUUCUUCCCUUUUCUCAGUUUAUCACCUUACCUAUAUGUUUGUGUUGUUCUGUCUGGAAAUGUUUUUGGGAGUGUAGAAUUUCGAAGUCUCUUAUGAUCAAUUUUUGUUCUCUUUCAUUUAUUAUUUAUUUAGGCCUUUCAAUGUAUUGUCUGGUUCAUAGGGUGCGAAGUGUCAGCAAAAGUGGAAUGUUAGUAAAUUGGACAUCAGAGAAUGUAACAUUGCUGGGUUAUUGAGAUAGGGAUCGUGGAUUUCAUUGUUCUUUGAGGAUUACUAUGCUUUUGGUUGAGGGAAAAAGGCGACAGUUUUGAAACAUUGCUUUUUAACGGGCAAUUUUUGUUUUUGUUUUGACUGACGAGGAAUUGGAGAAAUUCUUAGAAUAAAUGCAGGGUGGAGGUGGAUAUGUUGAGGGGUAAUAUCACAAGAAGGUUUCUUUGUGACAUCAGUUUCUACUGUAUAUUAGGAAAUACCUUUUUUUUUUUUUGUGCUCCAUGUAGGUUGGCUGGCUUCUGUACUAAAAGGUUCUUUUCCAUUAGCUGUGCAGCGAUGAUAGUUGUUAAAUUUAUGCAUGCAUUUUAGCUGGACUGCUUAUUCAAUAUCAUCGUAGUUUUUUGUUAAUGAAUGUGAAUAUUUUAUUAUGCUUGUGAUGUGUUUUUUGUGGACAACUAUUAUCUUAUAAAUUGUUAAGUCUUUUUCCAUGUAAUAACCUUGUGCUGUUCCCUUGUCUUUUGCAGUUCAUCUGAUGAUGGAACCUGUAGGAUAUGGGAUGCCAGGAAUUCUCAAGUGAGUCCAAGGAUAUACAUUCCAAGACCUUCAGAUGCUAUAGUUGGUCAGUUGUUUCUCUAGUGCAGCUAAAAUCAACUAACUUAUUUACUGGUGAAAGAGUACUUAGUGUGGUUGUGUAAUUGCUUGGCUGCAGGGAGAAACAGUGGUCCAUUCUCCAGCACUGUCUCACAGAGCCAUCAAAUCUUUUGUUGUGCAUUUAAUGCUAAUGGAACAUUCUUUGUCACCGGUAGCUCAGACACUCUUGCAAGGGUAUACUAAACCUCUAUGCUCCUUGUUAUUAUUUCUGCAACCUUCUGUUUAGUCGCUAUCCUCACUUUUGCAUUCAGUAAAAUGCAAAUAUUGCGCCUCUAGGAGUAAUGAAUAAACUCAUGAAUUGUAUCUGAAAAUUUUCAGUGUGGUUCAGAUAUGAAUCAGAAAUAAAGCUAUCAUCUAUAUAUUUCUACUAAUAAUAGCUAGCUGGUUGUAGGUGUGGACUGCUUCUAAGCCAGGCUCAGAUGAAUCAGACCAACCAAAUCAUGAGAUUGAUGUGUUAUCUGGCCACGAGAAUGAUGUCAAUUAUGUACAAUUUAGGUUAGAUUGUACGGUAGUUUGCCAAUGAUAUAUAUGCAUAUAUCAAUCUUUGCAUGCUGAUUUAUGUUGCUUCAUACAUUGCAGUGGUUGUGCUGUAGUAUCUAGAUUCAUGGCAGCUGACACCUCAAAGGAAGAGAACAUUCCGAAGUUUAAAAAUUCGUGGUUUGUUUUCUCUUCUUUUUGAUUGUGAUGUUAAAUAUGUCUUGAUGAGUUCGAAUGUUUUCCCCUAUCCUGGUGCCCUUUUAGCUAUCUGUUCUAUAAUUUGCCUUGGGGAAAUAAUAUCACUACCAGUAAUAUGCACAAUAAAUUUAAUUUUCCAGGUUCAAUCAUGACAAUAUAGUUACUUGUUCUCGCGAUGGCAGUGCAAUUAUCUGGAUUCCUAGAUCACGAAGAUCACAUGUAAGUUUUUGGAAAGAUAACUUGUAACUUCCUGUUCUUCUAGCCUGCCCUUUUUCUCAGAAAGUUUUUCAAAUGAAACAAUUGUAGCCACCUUCUUUCUCUUGAAUUUUUCUGCUUUAAAUAGAAAAAUCAUAUAGCUAAUUUUAUAUUCCAGGGAAAAGCUGGUCGUUGGACGCGGGCAUAUCAUCUGAAAGUUCCCCCUCCACCAAUGCCUCCUCAGCCUCCACGAGGAGGCCCUCGCCAGAGAAUUCUUCCAACUCCUCGCGGUGUUAAUAUGAUUACCUGGAGUCUUGACAAUCGCUUUGUCCUUGCUGCUAUUAUGGGUAAUUACUUUGUUGUUUCUUACUUAUUGUCUAUUUAUUAGUAUAUUACUGAUAUGCAUUAGGUAGUAUUUUUCUAAUGCCUAUACAAACUAGGAUUAAGUUGAAGGCCUUAAAUUCUUUAGUUUAAGAAAUACAUAUUCUUCUUGUGGUGCAGAUUGCAGAAUAUGUGUAUGGAAUGCAUCUGAUGGUAGCUUGGUGCAUUCACUGACAGGUCACAGUGAAUCUGUAUGUGGCUCAUUCUCUUUGUUCUUGAUUGCCCUUUUUUUUUCCUCUCUUUUCCAGUAUUUUGUUAUUUGACCUUGCAAAGAGAAGCAUGGUGAAUAGACUGAGUUCAGUAGUGUGUGUUUCCACAAGUGGAACAAAUAUAUAUCUGGUACCAUAUUAGUUUUUUUCUUUUUUUUUAACAUGACACAGAAUUGUUGUGGAUACUGUCUUUGGUGUUGGUUAGUCUUUGAUCCUAGUGCACACUGUAGUAAUUAAACCUGUUUAUUUAUUAUUGCGUUACCUACAAUGUCUUAGUGCUGCCGAACAACUGUGGCCUUUUUACAUAGGGGACUGGUUUUGCUGUUUAUUGUUUGCCCAAUAUCCUGCUUUAGUAUUCUAGUCUUCUAGCUGGUGUUCAUGAAUUGGUUACUUAUGCUAAUAUUGCCUACCUCUACCUCCAUUACACACAUGUUCAUCAAUUGGUUACUUCUGCCACUCCUCUUUUGAAGAUAUUUUUAGCUGGUUUGUUGUUUGGGUACUUUACCUAUCGAACAAGUAAAACUUAAAUAUCUGAUAUUAUUAACUUGUGUUCUUGAUAGACAUAUGUUCUGGAUGUUCAUCCUUUCAACCCCAGGAUAGCAAUGAGUGCUGGCUAUGACGGAAAAACAAUUGUCUGGGAUGUGAGUUUCCAGUUUCCUUAUCAUACUUGCAAUUUUUAUUUAUUUAUGUUCUAUGGUUUUGAAUGCUUUGUUGACUUUCAAUUACAGAUAUGGGAAGGCAUGCCUAUCCGGAUAUUUGAAACAUCACAGUUCAGAUUGGUAGACGGAAAGUUUUCACCGUAAGUGAAGAAUAAGAAAUCUUGAUUUUGGAAAUUUUAUACCCAACUUAUUGUAUUGACAUUAAAAUGUUUUCUAUUUUCUAUCUAAUUAUAAUUGAAUGGAAUCCUGUUUCAUUGGUACUCAAAUUGGCUAUAUGAUAUCUUGCUCUUGCUCAUCAGAAUAUUAUUGAAACUGCUUCCAGUUUUCUGUAGUAUUUUCUGCCUUAGCUUUCCAUAGUCCUAUGUAGCUUUCAACCUUGUGAUGCGUUGAAUCCUCACUGCCAUGCUGAUUAGUCGUUUUUGCUUCCCUAUCAUUCCUCCCCCCCCCCCCCCCCCCCCCCCCAAAAACAAUCUCUCUCUUUUCUUUCGAGCUUGUAUUUCUUGCUAUAUGCUUUUGCCUUCCUAACUAUUUUCCUGUAGUUACAAAGGGUUCUUUCUCUGUAAUAUAGGGAUGGGACAUCAAUUAUCCUCUCUGAUGAUGUUGGCCAACUAUACAUAUUGGACAGUGGCCAGGGGGAGUCGCACAAUGAUGCAAAAUAUGACCAGGUAUGGUUGUCCCCUCCUUUUUUUAAAUUUUAAAAUAAUAAUAAUAAUAAUAAUAAUAACUUAAUACUGAAUAUUUGGUUAUAAUUUUACUCAAUGAGUUGGGGGAUUUCUUUUACAAUUUUUUCCCAAGUGGUACUUAUUGCUGGUGCGCUUCUUUGGCAGUUUUUUCUUGGUGAUUAUCGCCCAAUCAUUCAUGAUAGCUUUGGAAAUGUUCUUGACCAGGUUAGUUGGCCAUUUUCACUGUUGUUCUUAAUUAGUUUUCCGUUUCUGGUUAGUUCAAGGAGAUGAAUAAACUACAUAAGCAAUAAUUCAAUGGUAGGGAGUGUUAAAUGAAUUGUGCUGCACUUUACCUCACUAGUACCAUAAUAAACUCAGGUGAACCUGUCGUGUCUGUUCCUUUUCAUGUCUUAUUGAUCCAUAGAUAAAGACCCUCAUUUAGCCGCACAGUUCCAUGCAUGACAAAGGCUCUUUGGAUUCUUUAUUUUUCUCUCUUAGUUAUGCAUUCACUCUGUGUGUGGUCUCAGUGGUGGUUUUGAUGGAUUGGUAACUGCAUGCAGAGGACUGGCUGAGAGAAAUUAGUUUAACUGUUCGGGAUAGUAGGACCAACUUUCAAAUUUCUUCUUAGAGACUUGAUAGUUUAAGUGUGCCAAAACCCAGUGCCUGUCGUUCUAUAAUAGUAUAGAUGUAUAUGCAUGAUUGACCUACCAUAACUUCAUUCCAAAUAUAUAUUUGCAAUGCUUGUUAGUUUGAAAUUAUCUGCAACAUUUGAUUCAGGAAACUCAGCUUUCAGCAUACCGGCGGAAUAUGCAGGAUCUACUUUGCGAUUCAGGUUUCUCUCUACUCCUUUUCCUGUAUGAAAUUUAUCUCUUCUGGAAAGUUUAUUUUCUCAAGCACUGGUUUAUGGUGAAAACCUAGGCAUGAUACCAUAUGAAGAACCCUACCAGAGUGCAUACCAGAAAAGGCGAUUAGGAGCUUUGGGUUCCGAGUGGCGUCCUUCCUCUCUAAGACUUGCUGUUGGGCCUGACUUCAGUGUAGAUCCGGAUUUCCAAAUGCUGCCUAUUGCAGACUUGGAUAUGUUGGCUGAGCCUAUGCCAGAGUUUGUAGAUGCCAUGGAUUGGGAACCACAAAAUGAAAUGCAAAGUGAUGAUACUGAUUCAGAGUACAAUAUUACUGAAGAUUAUUCUACUGGAGGGGAGCAAGGAAGUUUAAGUUCAAAUCCCUCUAUUGAUCCAGAGUGCAGUGAAGAAGACAGCGAGGCUGAGGAUGCUCAAAUGGAUGGACUUCGUAGGUCUAAAAGGAAAAAACAAAAGGCUGAUGUGAGUUCUCUGUCAAUAACAAAUUAUAGUUUAGUUUUGGUUAGGACCUGCUUGAAUCUGCUUUAAUGUUCUCCCUUUCUGUUUCCUCAGGUUGAAGUCAUGAGUUCUUCUGGAAGGUGUGUCAAAAGAAAGAAUUUGGAUGAGUGUGCUGGCAAUCCAUUCAGAAAUAAUAGAAUGAGGAAAUCUAGACAUGGCCGAAAAGCUUCAAGAAAGAAAUCUUCCACAUCAAAGUCAUUGAGACCUCAAAGAGCUGCUGCACUCAACGCUCUUACUCUAUUUUCUAAGAUUACUGGAAGAUCUGCAGAUGGAGAAGAUGAAGAUGGAUCAGAAGAUGAUAUGUCAGGAAGUGAAUCCACCCUGCAAGAUUCAAACAUUGAGAGUGAUGGAUCUGAUAAACAAAAUCAGCCAACCAAACAUUCAAAAGGAAAAGAGUUUUCACUGGAUGAGUCUGAGGACAUGGUUAAACCUAAUGAACGUCCUGAAUUUCCAAUAAAUGCUGGGAACAGGAGGAGAUUGGUGCUUAAAUUGCCAAGACGGGACUCAAAUAAGCUUGUGUCUAGAGAAAGCACAGUACAUAAUUGUGGUAAUCAGGAUGAUUUGGUUCACCAAUCAUGUAGAGUACCUCAAGAAGCAACUGAAGCAAACAACAAUAUAAGCUCUCAGGAUCCAGGGUCCUCACCUGGUGAUGAAAAAUGCAGCAUAUUUGGAACAGCAGUGGGUGGGCAAUUAUACAAAGUAGAAAAUCAUGUAGAUUUGACUGAGAAUUACAAAAAUGGGAGAAUUAGUUGGGGAGGCUCCAGAGUGCGAACAUCUAAGCGUCUGAGGUCAGGAGAAUCCAUGUCAUUGGAUGCACUUGCCAGAGCCAGUGCAACCGUCGUUGGUAACGAAAAAGAGUACUCAAAACCUGAAAAUGAUUUUGGAACCAUGUCACCUCAAUCAGAAAGCCAAAUGUAUGGAGAUACAAUGGCUGUAGGGAAUGAGGAAACCAUUGGAGCUAGUACCUCUGAGGGCCUUAAUGGUGAAACCAAUGCCAAAGAGCAAUCAGGUUUUAGUGAAUGCAAGGAUCAUGAUCAAUCGCCUAAAUCUGUUCACAUGGCUCCUUGGGAUGCAAGCACUUCCUCAUGCCUUGAUAAGGACAGGACUAUUUUCUCUCCUGAACAAAAUGAGAAGCUCACAACUGUCUCAACAAAAUUGAGGUUGAGGAGGAUUUCAAGGGAUCCUAGUCCUUGCAAACAGGAAAUGUUCUCUGUGGUAGAGAACUUGGAAAAUGGUAGAUGUAACACAUUACAUGAAAGCCUUUCAAGCAUGGAACAGGAUCCAGUUGUGCCGGAGGAUGAUGGAACCCCUAAAUUUAUUCCAGAUGAUAGAUACAAUGGCUCGCGAGAAUCAGACAAUCAAUCUGAUAAGAAUGUCAUUUCUGGUAUACAUGAAUCAGUCGAGUCCCAUUUAAAUAAAAACAAAAUGUUCAGUGCUGUUUAUAGAAGGGUGAAACCACAUAGGGGUAGAAUUAAUUUAGAAGGUGAUAGUGGCAUCAAGGAAGAAGGCUGUUUAUAUACUUCAAAUACAAGCAACCACAAUCUCAUUGCUGGAGUGGACUUUAAUGAUGACUCAGUUGAUGGAGGUCGCAGGACACGGUCCAUGGGGUUGAAGGCAUCUGCACAUGAUCCAAGUAGUGUAGAUCAUGAUGAUAAGAUGGGCCAAGGACAUGAGCCAGGUUAUACAUUUAGAAGUAACCAGAAAAGUUCCAUGGACAAGUUUCAACUUCGGAAUGAAGAACAAGGAUCAAGUUCAAGGACAACAGUCGGAUUGAGGUCUACUAGAAACAGAAGAAGCAGUUACCGUGACAUGAAUCCAAUGGAUAGAAGGAAGUCGCAUCAGUCAGCAAGGAAAGUAUCAUGGUUAAUGUUGUCAACACAUGAGGAAAGCUCACGAUAUAUUCCCCAGUUAGGGGAUGAAGUUGUUUAUUUGAGACAGGUUUCUUUAUAAAUUGCUGCUGGUCUUUUUCCCAUUUUAUUUUUCCUUUUCAGGGGGUGGGUAGGUUGGUUUUGACAUGAGAUUGUGCCUCGGUGCAAACCUAUGGCUUACACUAAUCGACCUACACAAGUCGCAUAAACAGCAUCUCUGGAAACAGGGAUAUAGCUGUGUAUGCUUUACCGUCCCAGGGCCCUACAUUAGCCAGAGCUUGUACUGGAGUGCCCUUUUUUGUUUUGGUUUUGGUUGUCAUGUGAAUGUUGAUUAUAUCGCAUAGCUUGGUAAACUCCUUUUUUUCUUUUUCCUUUCUUACCAGGGGCAUCAGGAGUAUUUCGAACUUGGUGGAUUGAGAGAAAACCCACCGUGGACAUUUAUAAAGGGGAGAAUAAGAGCUGUAGAAUUUUGCAAAGUUGAAGACCUGGAGUAUUCUUCACUUGCAGGGUCUGGGGAUAGCUGCUGCAAAUUGACACUUCAAUUUGUAGAUCCUACUUCUGAUGUGUAUGGUAAAUAUUUCAAAAUGACUCUGCCUGAAGUUACUGGUUUCCCAGACUUCAUUGUCGAAAGAACUCGCUAUGUCUCUUCUAUAGAGAGAAAUUGGGCAUGUAGGGAUCAUUGCAAAGUCUGGUGGAAAAAUGAGGGUGAGGAUGAUGGUAAGUGGUGGGAGGGGAGGAUUAAGCUGAAACAGUCUAAAUCUACCAACUUCCCCGACAGUCCAUGGGAGAUGUAUACUGUUCAGUACAAGUGUGACCCUAGUGAUGCACAGCUACAUAGUCCUUGGGAGCUUUUUGACUCCAAUACUCAAUGGGAGGAGCCUCGCAUUGAUGAUAAGAGCAAAAUGAAGCUGCUUUCUGCCUUUGCCAAACUAGAGCGAUCUGCUGAUAGUCGCCAGGUAUUAAGGAGAAAAAAACACCCUUUACUUUUUAUAGUUAGAAAAUUAAUUUUGUUAAAUGCUGCAUUUGGCUAACUUUUUGAAGACUUACUAGGAUUUUUCUCAAUUUCGUUGUGUACAAUUCAGGAUUCUUUUGGGGUUGAUAAACUGAAGCAACUUCAACUGAAGCCAAAGUUUACAAACUGGUAUAUCUUCGUUAUAUUAUAGCAUUCCCGUUAUGUUGCGUUCGAUUUCAAUGUCAUGCAUGCUAACACUUGCGUGUCUGUUGUACCGGCCGUGAUGGAAUUUCUCUCUCAAGUGCUAUCUGAGAUUUUGAAAUGUGGUUUUGUGUUUUGGAACUUUCUCAGGUGUGCGGUUCCAAUAUCUCUUGAAGUGAUCCAGUCUAGGUUAGAGAACAACUACUAUCGAAAUUUGGAAGCACUAAAGCAUGACUUUAAAGUCAUGUUGUUAAAUGCUGAAACCUAUCUUGAAAGCAAUGCGGUCAAGCGCACAUCAGAUAAAGAGCUUUUAGCUAAAUUGAAAUGCAUAUCAGACUGGUUCACACAGACAAUAUCAUCCUUGUAGCACCUAUAGUUACGUAAAGAAAUUGAUUCAUUAAUGAGUUGAAGCAGACCAUCUGGGUUUUUGCCCCUUGAUGUUCUUUUUCUUCUUUUUUUACUUUUUGUAGAUAUUUUACUUACCUUAAAAGAGGCUUUUCCAUUGUACCAUAGGUUCAAUUUUGGAAAUGCGUUAACCUUUUGGAUAUUCUUUUUAGAAGGCAAAAAAGAUCGCAGAGGCAAUUACCUGGUGGUCUUGUAAAUUUUCCACCAGAGAAUUCAUUCUUGUACAUACUCGGUUUUUAUCAUUAAUUAUAACAAAGGAAAAAAAGGAGAGAUUUCAGUCAAUAGUCUCGAAUGCAUCGGUGUUAUUUUUCAUUUCAAUGCAUAACUUGUAUCUUCCUUAUUCUUGGUUGCCUUAUAGCUUCCUACCUAACCCCUCGCCCACAAUACAAAUAGAGAUUAGAAUUGAGCAAUGGGGCAGGCGGUGCUUCAAAGAAAACCACUCUAGAGACUAUUUUCACGGACUAAAUGUCCAAUUAUGAAGAAAGUAAUUGUUUAAUCCACUCCCAAUCAAAAAGAAAAAAAGGGCAACUGAUAUAUUGAGCGAUAGUCCAAGCAAAUGCAAGUGCAUGCUGGACUGCCUGUGUUUUUUUAAUACUAAACAUUUUACAAUUAACAAGUCUUUAGAACCUCCAUGUCAGUGUCUCCUUCCUAAAGUUACAUUUUUUGGGAACAAUACAUCUUUUUGAUAGGAUGAAAUCCGAGCACACAAAAGGAACGCGUAAAUAUUAGUCUCUCCACCUAUGGCCACAGCUGGGGUUGCAGCAAACAAAGAACAAUGUCAUAUUUUGGGGGAACAAUACAUCUUUUUGAUAGGAUGAAAUCCGAACACACAAAGAGAGGGCGUAAAUAUUAGUCUCUCCACCUAUGGCCACAGCUGGGGUUGCAGCAAACAAAGAACAAUGUCAUACCUUCCUCUCCUCUAGCAGUUGCCUGCACAUGCAUAAUAAACUUAUAGCAUUAGAAGCACUGUAAACCAGACAAAGUUGUUCAGAGAUUACUAGGAGUUUUUGGUUCGGCCGUUCAAGGAGUGCAAUUAAAUAGAGUAAACAAACAACUACGGAGUGCAGUGACUUCAAUCUGAUUUUUCAAAAUGGUAUCUCUGUAUAAUACAGAUGUAUAGACUCCAUAUGCCCCAAAUAAAAUAAAGAAGACAAAAGAAAAGCUGCCCUAUGCCAUGGUGGUGGAUUUUUGACUGAAAGACGAACACAGAUGUUGCAAUACACGUGGCCCACCAAUCUCUAGGAUAACACAAAACUAGAGAUCAAUACUAGUGAAAAGCAAUGAAUACAUGAAAAUCGAUAGCUGAGACGAAAGGCAAGCAAUGAUUGAAGUCUAAAAGGUCAUAAUAACUUUUAAUUACUAAAGUAGAAAGCAAUGAAUACAUGAAAAUCUUUUCGCUGAUGCAUUAGUAAAGUAGCGAAGCUAUGAUAGUAUCCCGACGUUUUUUUUUUUCUCUUUUUUUGGUUCCCUGAUGGUAAGUAUUCAAUGAGAUAGAUACUAGAUUCCAAGUUGUCAUGAAAAUCCAACCGUUAAAUGAUAGAGACUUAAUUAUUAACAGUUGGCAUUUCAUCAAACUAGCAAAGGGUAAAAAUAUGUUAUGUGACGUUAAAAUUUUAAAGUCACUUUGUUAGACACCUCUCUCUCGCUUACUCUCUCUCUAUAUAUGUGUGCACCUAUGUAAUCGAAAAAGUUAAAUGAAAAGGCAAAACUAGCAAUAAAAUUCAAUGCAACAUAUAGAGGAUUGGUUAUUAACCUGAAAGAAGACAGCUUCUCCAUGCUUGCACUCUGAACAGCGCACUGCUUUGGUUCGAGGGAGAGUUGGAUCUGCAGCUACAUCUUGCAAUAUUUGAGUGCGUUCCCCAACAGCAUGGUGUAUCUCAUUUCUGUAGACACAGUUGUUGUCAGCAACCUCCUGCAAACAAAACCAAAAAACAAAACAUCUAAUAAGUAAACAAUUAUAUAAAAUGAAGGAGGAACCACGAAGAGACCUUUAACCAGAAGUGAUAAAACCCUACAGUACAGCAAAGUGAUUAGAGCACAGAGCAACCCGAAGACUCAAGCUAGACUCUAGAAAGUAACUUCAUAAAAGACCACACAGAGAAGGCCUGAAUAAUCAGAUACUUCUGCCGGGUACAAAUUUUUAGCGUGACCCAUAAAGAAAGAAGUACGAGCUAACGGGAACUCUCCAAUAAAAAGGUGGUUAUCAGAAUAAGACAGUUCUAAAAAGAUAUAUAAUUUUUAAUGCACUACACCCCAAAAAAUUAAAUUAAAUUAAAUCCCCUCAUUGAGAAAAUCUUCAGAUGUUAAUCCUAAUUACAUAAAUGAGAUUAUGAUGCAUUUGGGCAAGUGUAGUAGUAAGUACUGAGCAGAAGAACAAAGUUUACUGAGAGCCCACAUUACAUGGAGGCAUGUGGGUUUCGCAUUGAAAUUGCAGACCUUUGAAAACAUAGUUUAAAAAAAUUUAAAAUUAAAAUCCAAGGAGACAUAGAAAGAAUGAGCUACCUGGUGAUCGCAGUUGCGGCACGCGUAGAGGAGGAUCUUCUGGUCCUUGUCCUCUUUUGGGUACAGGAUAUUGUUGCUACAAAAACAGAAAUCGAAACCCAAUCAGAGACCAAAAAUAAAAUUCUCAAACAAGUUUUAAAAAUCAGGGUUUGUUGUGCAUGUGUAUGUGAAUGAGGAAGACGAUAAAUGCUGAGUUUACUGACCAUUCGCGGCAAAAUUUCAUGGUACUCAUUUUGAAAAAGCACGAGGUUUUGGGGUUUGGAGAGGUCUCUGUGUUUUGGGUUCUUUGCUUUUGGCGAAGGGCGGGUUCUCAGCUCUCCCUCUUUGUAGCUCCUCCCAGAUGUUUCUUCUGGCGGCACCACACUGAUUCACUGAGUUCUUCUAAAGAAAUUUUAAGGGUAUUUUCGGUAAACUGGAAACUUUGAGGCCUAAAGGCCCAAAGUAUUUGUAGGAGUUAUGUUGGAGGCCCAAAGCUUUAGCAGCUAUGUUUUCCAGUUUUCUUCCUCUGAUAACUUUGCUCCAAUUUAAUAGUCUUUUUUCUAUUUUCAGUGGGGUUACAUUCUGUAUUACUUUAUUUAUUUAUAUAAACGGUAUUUUAUUUAAUAUAAUCUAAAUUAUGGAGAGAGGUAUUCGAACUCAGGUGUAGAGUGGUGAGCGCAUCUGCUCUAGCCAACUUGACUAAACUCAUAUCUGCUACAUUCUUUAUUACUUUGGUUGCAUAAAUUAAUCUCUUAAUAAGCUAAUUUCUUUUUUCUAUUAUAACAAAAUAUCAAAUUUGGCUUUGAUGUCUUCAUGAACUGUAAGCCCUUCAGAGCUUUAGCCCCCAAGCAUGAUGAUUGAUAACACAAAAUCAAUGGAGUUCAAUAAACUGUAAUCUCUUCCCGUUUUAAGCCCGGCAAAUACCUGAAGGAGUUGCAACAAUUAAGGCAGAGGGCCUAUCCUCGGAUCAAUGCAAAAUCGCAGCUUCAUUUGUAUAUAACCAACUUAAAAGUUUUAAAUUUAAAAAAAAAAACAAUGGAAAUUUACCAAAUAAAAACGAUCUAUAAAAACAGUACCCCAAGUACAGUGCAAGUUCAAAUAAAGCAAAGGUCACAAAGUAAGACAUCACAAGAAACACCUACAAAGAUUAUUUUGCUUCAGAUUGGCAACAUGGAUAAUCCUUCAUCUAGGAAGCCCCAAAAUCACAACUGAACUAAUUUGAAACGCAACAUAUCUUGAACCAUACACAAGCGCUCUCCUUUAGGCUCCAUCACCUCAAUUAACACUUUCUGCUGUGUGUCCUGCUCUUCCUCCGGCUCCUCCUAUCAUCAGAAUCAGAUUCGGAAACUGACUCUGUCUCAGAAGAUUCAGAUGAUGAACUGUUCCUUCUCUGCCGCCUUCCCAUCUUUUGCUUCUUUUUCUUCCUUCUGUGCCUCCUUUCCUCCUCUGAAUCAGAAGAUGAACUGUAAUCUGAACUACUCUCCUCUGAAGAAUAAUCAGAUCCUGUAAUUGAUGAUGCCCCACUAUCAGUGUCAAAAACUGAAGCCUCACUAUCACUGCCAGAAUCAGAAGCCGCUCGAUGCUUCCUCUUGCUUUUCUUUGACUGCUGUUCACCCUUCUCUUCCUUAAUAUCUGGAAUAUCCAAAUCGUAAGAUACUGAGACCUUCAUCUUCAGUUUAGGAUUCUUGAGUUGUUGGGUCCUAGACGGUCGCGAGAUGUAAACACGUUCAUUCUUGCAUUCGUAUGUCCAAUGCCCGGGCUGGAAACACUUCUGGCAUUGUGAAGCUGCACCACUAAUGGUAAUUACAUUCGACUUAAGGUCUUUUCGUUCACCCAAUCUUACUGCCUUUUCAGUACUCAUCAAAUACAUCUGUCUCUUCGCUUCCCUUUUCUCCUGCCAUCUGCUGGGUCCUUCUUCCUUCUGCCCAUAAGCAUUAACGUUGCGUGCAGCAGAAGCAGCUGCCCUUUCAGCCUGAGCUCGACUAAGACCUUUUGCAGCACUCAAGGCUGCAGCCUUGAUCCUUUCAGCAGCAGCCUGAGCUUUCUCUUCUUUUUUACCCGACAUGUUCAAAAUCACAAUGUUCAAAUAUGAAUAUGGACAAUUGCCUACUCCGCAAAGGCCAACUGCCUGAAGUUCCAAGAAAAUAUCAAUACCACAAUUCCCAGAUGCUCUAACACCCUGCAUGUAAACAUCAAUUAGGUUAUUCACAUUCAUCGAAUAUCAGUGUGCGGGUCAACCAUGUCAAAAAAUCUCAGAAUUAAACAAGUAGUUUUUAAGUGAAUAUCAAGAACGAAAACGGAGAAGGGCCAAAAGAUAAACAUUUAAAUAAACUAUUAAAACCGACAACAAUGACCAACAUUGCAUAGCAGAAAGAAGUUUCAAACUGCCAAAUCGAUCAACAAUGACAAACAUUGACUAAAAUCUAAUAUAAUAUAGAACUAAAACUUAAUAGACGAUAAUUUAUCUGUGAUAAACAAAUGUUAUACAAGAUCUCCCUCUAAAAAGUUAGGCAAUUUCUAUAAGAAUCAUUAUACUAUACAUUAUCUUGGAAAGAAGAAAAAAAAAGUAUAGGAGCAUCAAAACUUUUCUUCGUUUCAUCUUUUCAACUUAAUCAUUCCAAUGCAUUACGCAUUUCUUGAACAAUAAUAUCAACCUCAGCUUUUUUUAAGUCAGGGAAACUGCAACCUAAAUGAUUUGCCCCUCAAACUGCUAAGGCCGACACGUUCAAGCAACAUCAACAUUACACUAAUUUUUUCAGAAAAUAAAAAAAGACCCAAGAUUUACAUUCACACACAAUCGAACCCAAACUAGUAAAAGGAAAAGAUAAAGGCUUCUUCCCUACCGAUCUAGCAGAAACUGUUGCAGAGAGAGAGAGAUUAGGGCAAUUCAAGGAAGCACCUUUACAACAAUAAAUUUCGUACAAAAACCCUAACCAACAUAUAACAAUUAUAUAAAGGAAAAAAAAACCCAAAAGUUUUUUUAAAAAAGGUUACCUUCUUGCGGUUGGAUUUCGCUGCGGGAGCUUGAAUAAGGAACAACGCUGUUGAUUUCGGUUUAGGGAAAACGGGUUUGGUUGCCUUUCUUUUAGUAUAAGGAUUUAGGCGACUCAACAGAGAAAAGCAGUCGUUUUUUGAAUUUAUAUUGACACGCAAAAAUUUGGCACGGCAUGAAUCAAUAUUUGAUUGGUUUCGUUCAUCUUCGAAAAAAAAGAAUAUGAACGGUAUCUAUAAACUUUCAAAUAACUCAAGCACUCAUUUAAAUAAAAAUUUCAAACACAAGAACAAAUACAUAAAUUAAUAGUUUAUAUUCAAGAUAAACUAGAACGUUUGUCAAUUGGAUUUUUUUUUUGUUCUUUUUAAUCUUCAAAAUCUGAGUUUUAUAACCUUUUUUUUUAUUUAAAAAAAUUCGAAAUGCCUCAAUUUCCCACACCUAUAGAAAUUGUAAAAUGACGCCUAUUUUGGUGGAAAUUAAACUCGGAAAUUUGAUAAUCUAAUUUUUACGAUUUUUUCCACGCGUCAUUUAAUAAAUUCCACGCUUAAGUUGCCAAACAAGGGAAUUUCAAUUUGUCGUCUUAAAUUCCCGACUUUUAGCUAAAUUUGAAUUAUUUUUCCUCAUCCAAACAGAAGGUUAAAGUUUUAGAGGCAGUUGCCUCCUAAUUUUAUAGCAACUGCAGAACAUGUUUUUUUUUUAAAAUUAGUUUAAAUAGAAUGUACUAAUUUAUCUUUAUUUAAUUAAGAGCAUUUGCUUUGAACAUGGUCAUUAACUAAAGACAAUUUGUGAGAUUUUGAAUGUUUCACCUCCAAGGUUUUCUGUGAUAUAUAAAGAUAUUGGCACAAGCUUUAGCACAAUGAAGUGGCUAGUUAUAACAUAAAAGGGUUUAUUCAAUAGUGACAUUUUGUUUUGACUGUAACACCAUUGUAAUAACAAAAACAAGAGAUGGGUAACACUUUAUCUCUUUUUGAUUGUUCGGAGGUUACACUCUUAGUUGGAAUGCAUAUGCCAGAAUUUCUUCGAUCAUGCGUGAUCGUUAGUGGAGGAGCCCCAUAUUGUCUUAAUUUUGAUAUUAGAUCAUUCCUUUAUUGUAAUGGCUUUUUGUGGCUAAUUUCUAUGGCUCUUUGUAGCUAAUGGUUUUUUUGGCUAAAUUAUGAUUGCAAUUCCAAAAUUUCAUACCCCCAAAAAAAAAAAGUACAUAUACUAAUAAAUAUGCAUGUGCUAUGAUAUGAGUCAAUUGUUUACACAACCUUAUGUUCACUUUGAAAAUUUUCAAUAUGGUAGCUAGAUUGGGUCAUACUUGAUAGUAAUGAAUUUGUAUAAAGACUAUAUUUUAAUGUGCGGAGGUUAUAGGUCUUUAGCACCAUUCACAUUUCAGAGUUUAGGUUUGAGAUGUGGAUUUUGAUGUUUUGGAGUUCAAGAUUUGAUUUUUUGUAUUGAGUUUAAAAGAGAAUCUAAUUACAUAACUACAUUCCAAUCCAAAACUACCUUUACUAAAACCCAAAUUGAAAGUAUAAUAUUCAUGAAAAAGUGAAAUUAACUUAUAAAAAGGUAGAAUUCUAAUAGAGACUAUCUUUGAGAUUUCAAGUGUAGAUUCAACAUUUUGAAGUAUGGAUUUUAGGAUUUCCCCAAGACCCCCAAAAUGUCAAAUCCACACCCAAUACUCCAAAAUGUCAAUCCCCAAUCAAAAGCCAGGAUUUCAAGGCUCACACCCAAAUUGUAAGAAUGCCAAUACUAGUCUAAAAUGUUCUAAGUUUUUGAAUGUGGGAAGUGGGAUAUUUUCAGAUCAUAGAAUGCACGCAGCUGGUUUUUUUUAUUUAUAGAAGUCCUUAAAUUUGGUUAUGUUCCUAAAAGUCCUUAAAAACUGUCGAAGGUAUUUGUUCUGCUUGGAAAGACCAAAAUCAUUGUUCUCUGGGUUUACCUUGUAAAAUGAACCUGUAAGAAAGUUCUCAUCUAUGUAAUUUUCUGUGAUCCAAGUGAUUCUAUCAUAUUGUGAAAUGAUCUUAACAUCUCAAGGUUGUAUUAGAAUUAAGACUUAAAAAUCUUGUAGGAUUAACCUAAAAAACAGAACUUCAAUAACCCAACAUUUAAACCAUCUGGAUAUUAAACCAGUGAAGUUUAACCAAAAACCAUACGAGGAAAAAAGGUCUAGUAGACCCUGAAAAUUCUUGAUGGUGAUGAUUAACCGAUCCAAAAGCAAAAAUCCUAACCAGAAGUUUUCUUAAACAAGAGACGGAGCAAAUCACAUCUCCACAUUAUCAAAGAAAAGCUCUCUGCGGGACUAGGCCCCAGUCAGCAGCCUAAAAUAUUCCAGAGAGAAGAUUUGCAGCAGUGGAUAUGGCAGCUCCAGUUAUAGCACCUUGCACAAUCUGCUCGUGGGACGACCCCUCCGAUGUGAGUGCCAGAGCCACCCCCGUAAUCGCUCCGGCAACUGCACUGUUUUUCUGCAUCAAAUUUUAAGCACGCACCAUAAAAGUAGCGAUUCUUAGCAUGCCUAAUGCUGAAGCGUUCAUCAUAGAAUUAGAGACCAAAAAAAAUUAUAUAACCAUUACCCAAUCAUGCGCCCCACGAGCCUCUGUCAGUCCAUAUGUGAGACCUGAAUACACCCCUGCAGCCAGCCCUGAUAUGAAAACAAAUUGUUAGCUCCCUUCUUUCGAGUUGCUACUGUGCUACACGCGAUUAUAAGCAGGAGGAACUGAAACCUAGAGCUUUAUUUCAACGGGGGAAACGAAUUACACUCAAGUCAUUAGCAUUGGCUACUGUGUAAAUCUGAUGCAAUUUCAUGCUUGUAAUUCAAAUAUAAAAUCUACUAACCCCAUUGCAAAGAUUCCUUUCCAGUAUGCUUCACCUGAAAAACAGUAUGACAACUAAUCAGCAACUACUAACUACAUCAUCAGUCAUGACCAGAGGCCAGAGAAGUGAAUUUUGCAGAGCAUGGUGAUUUGUUAAUAAAAGGAUCGACACCGGAGCUCCUUAUCGUUUAUUAAACUGAUUGGUGUUGGAUGCAGGAGAAUAAAUUUGAGUUCCAAAUGAUCAAGUAGAGAACAUAAGGCGAAAUUUAGGUGGGCAUAUACGAGCCACGGCUUAGCUGAAUCAAUGGUUGUCCUGUUGCAGAGGGCAAAAGUCCUAAUUACAGUGAAAAUACAUGGUUGAAUUGAAUGUUAACUUUAAACUCACCAUAGCCUCGAGAGAUUUUGUAUUGUUUUCACCUGCAAAGGGCACAUAAAACAAUCACUUGAGACGAUCGUGCAAUGCAUAGCAAUAACUGAGCCCCCACCAACUAAUUUGGAAGGACAAAUUAGAAUGAAUGGUUUGAUAAGAAAAGGUGAGAGGAGAUGACCAGAUUCAAUAAAACAACGAAGAAAUUAACAUAACAUAUACCUCUGAGGUCAGGGAAGCGAUGCUUUUUGUUGCCUGAGAUUUCCGGCGGGAUACCGCCACCGCUUGAAUCAAGCCCUGCACCUUAUAAGAAUAAUGGUGAACAUCCCAAGCCAAAACCAAAAGAGACAAUAUACAUCAAUUACACGCGCGCACGAGGAUUAUCAAAUCUUAAACAAUUGUUUUGUCCCUCCCUCGAGACAGAGGCUUCAACUCAUUCAAAAGAGAGAACAGAAAUAAUACCAAGAAAAGAAACUCAAAGUAGAAGGAAAUAUAUGAGAAUAUAUAGGGAAAUGAAGAAGCAACAUAUAUAUAUAUAUAUAUAUAAAAAGUUGGAAGAGGACAAAUUAAGGCACCUUCAGUGGCUGUGAAAUAAGCCUCACGUGACACAGCCUGAAUAGCUCCUAUCUGUCGAUUGCAGCAACCAACAGAACCAGCCUUAUUAACAUAAUGCUCAUCUCACAUAUUCUACGUACGUACAUACACAUGAAGAUAUAUAUAUAUACACACACAUGUACAUACAACAAGGAGAGAGAGAGAGAGAGAGAGAGAGAGAGAGAGAGAGAAGAGGACCCCAGCAGCUUUGAGAAAGCUCUCAGCGAUGCGGUUGAGGAGAGGGUGGCCGAAGUCGAAGAAGCCACCUUUCUCGAAGCUACGCAGCUCCUGAAGCAAGGAAGGCCUUGUUUCCAAAUUACUGCUGCUCGUGUUCAUCAUUCACUUCAAUACUUGUUUAUUUCUUUGAUGAUUUGUUUUUUUCUCUCUACACUCCUUCCUCCCAGAUAAUAUAUAUAAUAUAUAUAUAUAGGUAUGUAUCAAAAGAAAGAAUUAAGGAUAUGAGGUUAUCUCUGUACGAUGGAACUGAUGAUGCAGUGAAGGUAGAUUUUUGGUCCAAGAGUGAAGAUAGAUAGUACAUGGUACUUGUGAACAAGAGAACAGAACAAAGCAAGUUAGAGUGGACACGUCUACCUGCCACGUACCCACCUACGUGUCUUUCUUCUGCGAACUUGGAGGCGUCUUCUUUGCAACUGCUUCGCCACAUGUCCCCCUUCCCCUGCAACCAGUUUCUCACUUCGCUUAACCCUCCCCCAAUGGAGAAAAUACAUGAUUAGUUUGUUGAAAAACUGAGUUAAUUAAACAGCUGCAUUAGAUUAAGACGCACAUCUAGGUUCUAACUGAGACUCGUUCGUUAAUUUUGGGAUGGGCGCUGAUUUUUCCACCAUCAUUUUGUCCACUUAUACUCUUUUAUAAUUUUCAAUAUAGUGAGUGCAAGUGGACAAAAUAUGAGUGGGAAAAUAUACUUUCUUAGGCCCCGUUUGAUUCACGGAAUGAAUUUGAUGGAAAAUCAUUUCUCAUAUCAUUUCCUAAAGGAUGAGAAAUUGAAGAUUCUUUCCCCACGUUUGGUAAUGCUAAGAAAGUAAUCGGGAAAUAACACUUUAUUUCCUUUCCAUGUUUGUUUUGAGUAUGAAUGGAAAAUAAAGUUUGUAUAAAUUUUCUAUGGGUAAUGCUAGAGAGACCAUCUUUUUUGUACCACAAUUGUAUAUCAUCUGAUGUGGCAUGCCAAAUCAUUUAAUAUAAUUACAUAUAUUUUAAAUUUUUAUUCUCCCCUAAUUAAAGCACAAAAGUUAUUAAAUAUAGCUAAAUAUAUUUUAUUAUCCCCUAAUUACAGCACAAUUACCGAUAGGAGUCUUUCAAUCUUCACUCUCUCUUCUUCCUUCUCCCUACACUGUCUUCUCCUAAACAAUUUUAUGAUUGCCGGAUUUUUCAUGGGUGUUGAACACAGAAUCAACCCCUUUCCUCAUGUUGGCUACCAUUUUUUGUUCUUUUGUCUCUUACGGCUUGCAACUAGUGGUCAAUUUCGCAGCCAAAAAAAAAAAAAACCUAGUUGCUAUAAUGUGGUGGAAAAAGCAACUGAUCUGAUAAAAACUUUAUAUCUUCAUGGACUCCCUCAGAAAUCUAACUAUACUGUUCUUGUAGAUCUGAAAUAAUAUAAUAUUUAGAAUCAAAACCCAACUACCUUUCCUUGUUGUAUGAAAUGGGAGACGGAGAAGGAGGAAGAGGAAAGGCUAUAAAUGAAUAAAUAAAUAAAUCUGAUGGGAUCAGUGCAUUAAUUAGGGGAGAAUAAAAAUUUAAAAUAUAUGUAAUUGUAUUAAAUGAUUUGGCAUGCCACAUCAUCUUCUACAUCAGAUGGUAUACAAUUGUGGUACAAAAAGAUGGUCUCUCUGGCAUUACCCAUUUUCUAUUAUACCCAUAUUAAAUAAAAAAAGAAUGCAUUUAAUGAUAUAUUGUAAUUCUAAAUUGUUAAUGAGGGACAAAAUGGUCAUGAAAAAUGUGUAUUUAAUGUUGGUUCAUUUCCUCCAAACUUUCCCAUGAGGAGGGAAAACAAAACCCAAGUUGGGAGGAUAACUUCACUUUCCUUCUUAUUUUCUCAUGGGUCAGGCAACGAUUUCUCAUGCCUGGACUUACCAAACAUGGGAAAGUAAUUGAUUUCUCAUGCUCAAGUCUCAUUUCCCAUGAACCAAAAGGUGCCUUAGAGCAUCUCCAAGGGAGAUGUCAAAUGCAAAAUGUUGAAUUUGAUGGCUUAUGUAGCAAUUUGACACAUUGGAACAAAUUUAACUCCACCUGAAAUGCUAAAUAUAAUAUUAUUUUAUUAUAUUUUUAAAAGCAAAUGAAGUCCAUAUGAUGCAUCAAGUUUUAGAAAAGAGUAAAUGAUAGUGGAGUCCAUGACUAAAAAAAUAUUAAAAUAACAUUUGACAUCAAGCUUUUUGAUAUGUUAUUUUUGACAUAUCUCUUCCGACCUUCAAAUCUAUGUAGGAUUUAACUACUCGGUUAGAGCAACUUUAACCUUCAACUUUUGUCAUUUCAUGUCCUUGUGACAAUUUGACAUAUUAAUUAAAGAUGGUCUAAAUACUUACUAAAACAUUUUACCAUAAGCACCCAAAAAGUAUUUAAAUUCUACGUUAAAAUUCAUAAUUAAAUACUUUUAAAAUUAAAAAAUGGAACCAAGUAGAGUAGUUAAUCUAAUUCCAAUUCCAAUUCCUUAAUUCCCUUACCUAACUUCCUCUACUCGUAGCUUCUUUCAUUCUAUGCCUCAAUUGUUUCUAAACAUUUCCUUGCGGAAUGGAGCUGCCUACAAAUUACAAUUACUGUGCACUUGUGGUUUUUGGGGUUGCAGGCUAAUAAGGCAGACUGAAAACCUUCAAAAGCUUUCUGGAAUAAUUAUAAAGUCAAUAACUAAUUUACAGUGAGCUACAAAUUGAAAAUUUCCACUCAUACUACUACAUUUGACGAAAAUUGGCCUCUAAACCCACUCCCUACACACACACACACACACACACACACUCUCUCUCUCUCUCUCUCUCUCUCUCUCUCUCUCUCUCUCUCUCUCUCUCUCUCUAUUACAACCACUCACCCACCACUAAAACUUUUUUAACAUCAGAGGUAUACCCACCACCAUACAGGGCACGUAUUGGUGCCCUACCUAUCACAAGCCAAAAAAGAGCCAACAUGAAGAAACACAAACUUGUGAACAAAAGGGGGAACCUCAAAAACCAAAAGCAAAAAAGAUAAAAUUGGAUAUAGAAAAUCAAAUGCUGAUUGAAUGUUUUACAAAAGCAAAUACUUCAAAGCCCCAAAAAGGCCAAGUGAAGAAGAGAAGACAGGCCCCACAUUGUGAGAGUAUGACUUUCUUUUUUCCGCGUCGCAAUGGCACACUAUACAGUAUUCGCUCCUACCAUCGAUGGAAGCCAGCCAUAGACCAAAAUUCAUCCUCUUCUGCAGGUUCACUUCCUCUCUUUCAAAGUAUGUUGUUCAUCUGUUGCCUAGGACCUCUUUCUGGCACCAAGCACACAUUCACAAGUUGCAUCAAGAACACAAAGUAGUAACUGCACUGGCUAUGGUUCUAAAAUACAACUCAGGAUCCAUUUACAGCCAUUUCUGGUGAGGAUUUCGGUGGUAUCAAUGGGCAGUCCUCUCCACCCAACUGUCUAUUCUCCGAAGUGCCAUGCAAGCGAUCGCAGCAGCCUCUAGAAGUGGCAGGCUCCUUCUCUCUAUUAUCCUCAUCCUCUGAAUUGUUGCUAUCAGCACAGCUCCUAGAAACAGCAUGCUCAUUUUCUUGAUUUUUCCCUUCACCUGAGUUGCUGACCCCAUCAGCUGUGUGAGUUGUAUGCAUGUUGCUUGCAGUUUUCUUAUUCGGUAGCACUGCCUGGCUUAGAGUUGUACACAAAGCAGCAAACACACUUUCUUUUGGCUUGGAGUUUUUACCUAACCGUUGCCUCUUUGCAAGCUCGGGCUCCCUAUCCUUAGAAGCCAAUUUCCGCUUCAACCUAAGGGACUCCAUUGUUCCUUCAUCUUCAUCGGAGGUUUCAGGAUGUUUCCUGGGCGGUGGCUUGUAGUCUUCGUCAUCCUCAUCAUCAUCAUAAUCUACCAGCCCGACAGACCUUGGACUACAAAAUUCAAGAUGAAAGUAUGGGUUAUAUAGCAAAAAUAUUCUGAAAAUGCACUCUGUGAUAAACUAAAUACGAACAGUACAAUACCUGGAUGGUGGAUGGUUUGCAGCAACACCAUUGGAUAAUACAGGCUGAGGUUGUGCCUGUACUUUUUGGGUGUUUGGCAUGGAUGCAGAUGCUGUAUCUUCUUCAUCACUGAUUACCAAGUUCCAUAUUCAGUGGCUAUUGGUAGCAAAACUUAGCAGCAAAGAGCGCUGUCAAUCUCAAUAGACGUUCAGCACAAAAACAUACCUGUCUUCAUUAAAAUAAUCUUCUUCUUCUUUCUCCAAAGCACGCUCAUCAGUUCGUUUUCUAGGGUCUGACACAUUGGUGCUUCCUUUUGGUCCAAAACUUUCUAGGCACUGCAAAAGCACUUGUCAAUAAAAAAGCUCUAAAUCUAGGAGUGGAAGAACUCUAGGAGGAGCAUAGUACCUGCUCAUAUUUUACUUUUAGUGCUUGAACGGAUGCGAAAAACUCAAAUUUGACCAACUGAUCCCAGAAUGAAUCAACCAAGUAUUUGACCAAUGCUUUCAGAUUUUCCUGCAAAAACAAAAGCAUGGAUUAGACGAUAACUUCAAGACAUGCUUUAUCUCCAAAUAAUAAGGUCUAAAAGAGAGUGGAACCUUCCGAAUGAACUCAAAAAGUUCUAAAACAGCAGAGUUGAGCAGGUUAUAUCGAUUUCCAUUACCAACAAAUGCACCUACAAUCGGCUUGAGAAGGUUGUUCUUAACAAUAUGAUUUAUCAGAUGCUCAUCCUGCAGAUUUAUAUUCCAAUAGUUACAUGAAUAACCUAGCCCACCAAAAAAUAAUGUAUCAUGGGGGAGGGGGGGAGAGAGAGAGAGAGAGAGAUGUAUAACAGGAACAUAGAUAAUCCUUAAUAUUCUUAUACGGUACAAUUAGUUGACAACUUGUUACACGGCAUUUUUUUUUUUUUUUGGGUCUAUAAACUUGUCCACAGCAUUGUCAAUUGCAUAAGAUCCUCUCAAACAGCUAAACUGCCCUUUGUAGCCAACAUGACGCAGAAACAAGAACCAUUUUGUAUUACAACUACUAUCAUAUGGAAAAUAAAUAAAUUCAAUGCAACUGCUAUGCUCAAAUCAAAACAAUCCAUACCAUGCAUUCACCUUUAGUCUUGUAUGGAAAUUCACUCAUCUUAACUUCCCUUGAAGACCAUUUGGGUCUAUUUCAAAUCCUAACUGAACUAAAGGACGAAUGAAACUUUUUUUACAAUCAACACAAACUCACAUGACGGGAUAGAAUAGUGCGAACAAAUCGAACUGCAGCAACAACUAGAUACUUUUCCCUUCUUUGUGUUACCAACAAAACUUUAUCUAUGACGUUAUUAAGAAGAAAGUUACACCUGCAAAUGACAAAAACCCAAACAUUAAAAUGUCACAGGUCAGCAGCAGAAAUCCAUUUAUGAAAAUUGAAGAAGAAUCCAAGAUGUUACUUUAUUCUGUAUGGAUGGUGAAGAACACAAAAGCAGAGCAAUUCACAUAUGUUUGACAGUAUUUCAGGCUUCGCGACAUUUUGAUCAAUUGAUUGAGCAUUGCCUUCCAAAGGACAUGACGCUGUUAUAACAUCAAUUAACUGACCCAGAUGCUUCUCAUAGAAAAUCUCGAUAAUUGCAUCUCUCUGUAGGAAAAGCAAACGAGUUAAAAAUACUCAAUAACCAACUCAUCCAGAUACAAGCAUAAAAACAAGGCUUGAAAAAGAAAUUAUUCCUUACAUGCAAGUUUUACUGACAUGACUUUCCAACAAUUCAGCAGAAAUAUAAUAAACUACAAUUCAACAUUCAAAAUGUUACACCUGCAUAAAUAAAUUCAUACGUAUUGCAGACUCCAAAUGCAGCUUCUCUAUGUAUGAAGCUUCUACAAUUGUGAAUUUGUGCUAAUAAAAAAUUAACAACUCUAAAUAAAAGAGCAAUCCAACGAUUUACGAGAUGCAACAGAGCAAAAUUGGUCAUGAAAAGUAACAGCCAACAGAGAUUUGAAUACAGUGAAAAUGAAAAAUGCACAACUAGAACUUCCCCAAAAUGAAAAUGGACGCAAAAUCAUUGUAUAUAAAACAAAACAAUGACCUCACCCGAGUGAGCUGAAAACACAACAAUAAAAAGUAGAUCAUAUCAACGAAAUCUACAAUUAACCAGACACCUGAAGGUAUAGUGAAUGAAUUAGAUAGUAGUAAAGGUAAUCUCCUAUUCGAUGGUUCAAUAACCAAAUUCAUAAAGCCUCUCAUUAUGUUUCUAAUAUUAUACAUUUAAUAUGUAAGUAAAGAUGACUAUACAAGUUCUAGUGAAUAUAGCAACAAGAAAGUUAUGUUAUUCAGGAAAUAGAAGCUCCUAAAACAAAAAAGGUAAUUAUUCAUAUCCUCCAAAUAGUGCUAACAUGUUCACUAAAAAAUUAUGCUGCAAAUGUUACAUGCACACAUAUGACCACACGCACAAAGAUAUAUGAACACUUACAUGCAUAUAUACAAAUACACUGCCCCUCUAACCUAGGUGGACCUGCCGAUAAAGUUACUGGUACGGCAUUAGUUGAUUGUGAUGGAGAAGUUGGAAUUUAAGAAUGAAAAAGAGUGUAUAAGAAAGGACAUGAGAGGAGACAAAAGAUGAAAUCCACUGUAAGCUAUUAAUACAUAGGGAGACAACAGGUGAGUUCUCCUAGAGAGUGACAGUAAUAUAGUGGCAUCUUGAUGAUUUUCCGGGCACAACUCAUGGCUAAGAACAAGUAGUACACAAAAGAUAGAAGAAUAGCCAAAACUACAAAUUUCUUGACAUACUCAUGUAUAAACUUAAUCAUUCAAAAAUAUAUUUAUUGAACAAAAAUUUACUAGUGCAAAUACCUGAGCUCCUGACAAUGUGUAUGAAUCUAGUAGACUACGAAGAAUUUCAAGAAACUGACAGUGCAUGUCUUCCCCAAAAUCUGUAAUCAUUCCUUUAACCUGUAAGUAGACCAUUAAAUAUCAAUAUUCAUAGAGGUAACACAAACGCUUGCAUUGGCAUUUAUAAAUUUCAAAUAUGGAUCUCAAAAAAGAUUCUAUGCCUGCUCCCAUGCAGUUUAUCAAACUCAGAUGCAAGCACAUCUCAAAUUAUACAAAUUAAGGGGGGGGAAAUAGAAUCCUUUUAGAUAUGCUUGCUAUGAUCAUUGAAUACGCGUAUGGAAACAUUCCAUCAGAAGCUAAGUAUCAAAGCUAAACCAUUACUUUUCAUCUUUUCAUUUCCAAAAAACAAAAACAAAAAACCUAAUCCUUAACCUAAUCCCAGUUUUAAAUUUGCAGUGCAUACAAUCCUCAAAACAACGCUUCACAAAUAUAACCUGUGUUCUUGCUUAAUUAGGUCCAUAAAACAGGGUUUAGGCCCAUUGAAAUUUGAAUAAUUCACUAGGUUUAACACAGUUCAACUAUAAGAUUUCUUUCGAGCUCAACUAACACAGGUUAUUGUCUGGUGCACGUGUCAUUUCAUACACAAACACUAAAUUAAAAAAGUGCAUACCAAGAGUCCUAGAAGUGGUAUUCCUUCCUGACGAACAACAUAUGAACGAAGAAGGUUUGGAUCCUGAUUCAUGAAAAGAUUGAGGAUAUCUGUCCUGCAUCCAUUUAAUCACCAAUUGUCAGGACUAUGACACAACGAAAGAAACAGAUAACAGAAUGACAAGCACCAGACUACAGAGAACAGAUACUUUAAGUUCAUGAUUACCCAGUUAGUACAAGCUUUUUAUCUUGACUCUGCAAAGCAUCGGUUACAAUGUCAAAGAUUCCUUCAUUCAUGAGAUCCCUACAGGAAUUUAGGUUUUCACUCUUAGAAACACAGGCAUUAUAUAAGAUAAAAGAAUAUUAGCCGACCCCCGUAAAGAUAAGCAGCCAAAAUAUGAAAAAGGCAACAGAGAGAUGCAAAACAUAAUGGAGGUUCAAGAAAUAUAACUUCAGGAAUUGUUUACCUAAACAGGCGGAGCUGCUGGACCAUUGGCAGGCUUUUGCUUAAACUACAAAACUCAUGCAAGAAAUAUACCUACAAUAUGAAGGGGAAAAAAUGAUAACCAUGAUCAACAUUGAGGUACAUCAAGAAAAUUAUCCACACUGCACUAACAAAUUCUAAGGUCACUAUCAUUGCUAUGGCUAGAGUCUCUUUCACGACAUCAAAAUCCUAAUGAUUAUAUCAAAAUUCAGUAAAGUUUAUGGUAAUGAUAUUAAAAAAGUAACCAUGUUACUAGCAAGAUAGUGUUUAAAUUUGCGACAUUAAUAUAUACUAAACCUUUAUUUUCAUUUCUAAUUAAAUUCUCGGAGGGAGAAGAAAAUCAAAUGAAACAGAAAGAUAAAUUACACAAUCUAAAUGAUCAAUUACAUAUUCAUGAACUAUCCCUUCGGGAAGUGCACUGCAUCAUGCCUCAGAUAAACAAUGGAAGAGCGCUUAUGGAAAUCAAAAUUACCAAGUUCCUUUUAGAUUCUGCAGAGGUGGAUGGUGACCUUAACCUAGCAAACAAUUCCUGAAUAAAGGUACUGUCGUCCUUUAGCAAAGAAACAACCUACAACAGAUUAGGAACAUUAGGAUUAUUGUAACACACAGCCCUCCACAUGUUUAACGAAUGAGUAGUAAAAUCUUACAAUAGCAUUGUUUGCAUGAAUUAUGGAAUUGAGAUUUCCAACCGUGGCCUCAUCCAGUACUCUAGCCAAAACAACAUCCUAAAGAAGUAGUCGAAAGUAAGAUUUACUACCAAAGAAGUAGGUAAAAUGAAAAAGUUAAACGGAACAAAAGACGAACCUUUAAAUAUCCAACUUUAUACGUCUGGUGUAUCUUUGACAGAACCAUAUGAUCUUUAAUCGGUAUGGCCUGUGCAAAGUAAAUUUAUAAAUACGGAUACAUGAGAUAAAAGAAACAACUCCCAUAUGCAUUAAGAUGCUCUCCAACAUUUCUAGUCCUUACCCCCAAAUCCCAACCACACAACCUAAAGAAAAUUAUUACCUCCUUAAAAACAACAUGCUCUUUUAGAAAGUUACGAUGGUGUUGGACAUGAGGUACUUCAGGGUCAUCUGCAAUCCAAAAUUCAAGUAUUUCAACAUAUCAAAAUAAUACUGAAUCAUAAUGAACUGAGAACCGAAGUACUAGGCGACAACUAAAUUGAAUUCCAAUACAGAAGGUUAUCAUGAAAGAACACAAACCAAUAACAGAACUCACACUCAAGGGAACCAAUGACAUCCAUGAUUAAAUCGUCACCAAAUAUUUUCUCAAAGAUCUGAGGACUAUUCAGCAGAACUGCAGGUAGGAAAACACAUAUCAGUCAGUAAUAAAAGGAAAUACAUACAUUUAUGUGGCAUAUUUUGAGGGUAAAAUACCAUAAAGGAAUACUUACUGAUCCCCCUUACUAUUUUGUAUAUCAUGUGAAGACCAUCAACAUUUUCCAAGUCUUCACAGAUUCUAAAUAGGCCCAUGAGCUUUCGGAAAAACUCUUGCUGCGUUGAGAUUAAAAGACUCAUUAGAAAAAACCAACAAGCUGUAAAUGAAGGUUACAAUACGACAAAUUUUAUGAUUAAAAUAACUAAAUUCGACCUACUACAACAAUUGGUUGUUUACUGAAAUGAAAUAACCUUGCUAACUAAUCCACUAUCCAUUUCUUCGGAGAUCCACAAAGUUAUACAAAGCUUACAUCAGUCAAUAUCAGUUCUGUCAAUCGCAUCUGAUCAGCAAUGCCACUCUCAGCUACAGUCUGCAUCACAUAUGCACAUGCAUUGUCAUCACUUCGCAUGUAACUUGCAUAAAUAUAAGACAUUCCACAAGGGAAAAACGAAAGAUAAGAAAAGCUUGAACAUAAAGUGAAAAAUGUGGAAAGCAAGAAAGAUAAAACCAAUAAUAUGAGAUGCAAAAGAACUGUCCCACCUUCAGGAUUAAAGGAAGUGUCGAUAGCUCAACCACAGGUAGCUCCCUUAACUCACUGUUUGCACUGUGAAAUGUCUCAUCUACAGAUAUCACAGAAGAUGAACAAUUCAUGCUCCGAAUUUGAAACAAAUAAAUUUAAAGAGUGCGCGCACACAAUGUGACCAAAAAUCAACGACAAAGAAAUCUGAAGGAAUUUAGAAAAGAAUGAGUGUAAUGUUCCUCCACAUUUGUUCCCCAUUUCUUCAAGAUAUUUCUACCUUUCUAUGCUACACAUGGUCAUCAUUUGAAUUUUAACAGAACUUUAUUGCUAUUCAUAUUACUUGAAACAAUUCCACUCCUUUGCACAACAGCAAAAUCUAUGAUUGUUAGAACACUAUUCAUUCUCAGCACAUAAAAGUUGAAAUAUUAAUCAACCAAUGUGUGUUGCCUUAACCCAGAAUGGCUAGAACUUGCCUAACUUCAAUUGCUUAAGGCGAUGCCCAAAUUCAUUAUUCGGGCAUUUUACAGGGAUAAGCCUGCUGAAUGGUACCUUAACAGUUUCAUCAUGCAUUCUUGUGUUAAAUAUCUUGUUUUCUGGAGCAACUUGUUAGUCUUAUAAUAUAGAGAUUACAGAAAACUCUGUAGGGUUCCACUUCCACAAACAAGGAAAAAGAAUUCUUUAAUCAAUUACUCGUGACAGAGAAUUCUUUCAUCAAGAAAAAAUAUCCUCAUGCACUUUAGUUAAAAAAAUAAAUGAAAAACACAGUAUGUAGUAAUAGUAUUCAAUAAAAAUAAGAUUAAAAAUACAAAUAUCCGACCUCUGUAGAUAUUGAUCACUUCUCUCUGACAAGCUUCAAUAUCUACAGAGGUCAGUUAUUUCAAAAGCAGAAAAAGAAAAGGGAAUACAUUUUGAAUCAUUUUGCAAACACUUACUGUUAAGAGAAUUAAAAUGUAAAUUCCUUUGGACACUGCAUAUGUGGUCCCUGAAUAGAGCACGGAAAAUAAUUAGUAGAAUCAGAAGAUCAAGGACCAUGUUAAAAGGAAGAACAAGGGAAAAAAUUUGGUAGUUACCAUAUGUAAGAGCAGCCAGUAGACUCCUGAAAGCUGAGAGCUAAUUCCGUAGAAUAUUCUGGAUCCCUCCAUGAGAUAAUUGUAUCUUAACAAGAAAUAUUCCAAACUCCACAAUUCAGUAUCAAUUCUAGCCACUUGAGGACACCAUAUAAUAGCAAAUUAACAUUAUAUUAUCUAUCCAUUAAAAAAUAAAAUACCUUCUUGCUUUCUGUAGAUAUCAUCCGAACUGAUACGAUGCAGAAGUAAUGUCUCAUUAUCUUCUUCAUCAAUAACAAAUAAACCCAGCUCUUCUGAUCUCUGUGUCACAACAGUUGCAUUCAAUCAUAAUGCAUAUCAAGAAAUCAUUUCUAAGGAAACUUGACUCAAACAACUCAUUUCUCACAAAUUUACUCUGUCCCUAUCAGAUUAGCAUAGCGUUAAACCAAUGAGAUUAACAAACCUCCAUAUAGUCAACCGUAACAUGGCCUGUUCCCUGAUCAUCCCAUUUUCCAUCUUCAUUCAGACGGUAGACCUUAACACGCUGAGAUACAUAAAAGAAAAAUUAGACCAAAAACUUCUACCACAUUCUAUAUACCAAUAUUACAACUGCAAAUUUAAACUAUUAGAUGCUACCCGGAGCAGAUACAAGUCGGACAUCAACAUGGCACUAGCACUCCAUAGAUAAUUUAUAUAUCAUGUGACAUGUCAACAUCUUUUCUCCACCCAACACUUCUCCAAAAAGGCUGAACCUGACUUGGAGGUUGUGAUGUUUUUCAAAAAGGACAGCAACGAUAAUGAGGAUAAUGAGGAUUGUUAGCCCAGUGAAGUUCUUUAUUGUUCUGGGAGGGUCUUUUCUUGUAUUUUGAUUUAACUAGAUGUAAUGGUUUGAUUAAGUUAUAACUGCUGCUUUGCAUACUUGAAUGAAAUCAUUUACCAUAUAAGUUUAGAUAAAUUAGUUGCAUCUAGCCAUGUAACGUCAUAAUCUUUUUGAGAUUCUACAACCAACCGUGUUCAUAUUGUGUUGGUUCUUCGAAGCACAUAAACAAGUAAAAGUGUAAAUUCACAAUCAAUUGAGUCACUAUAAUACCAUAAAGAGAUAAUUACCAAAGACAACAGUUUUAUAUGAAUAUGAAAAAUUCUAAGAACUCACAAAUACAUACAAAAUAUAAAAAAUGAGGAUAAAAUAGAAAUAAAUAUCUUUAAAAUAUGUAAUGGAAAAGUUUCCUUAAGAAAAAUUUAAAUUAAUGGCAUUGCUUUCCAUUUUCUUAACAUGAUAAAUAGUGUUAAGGCAAUAAAUUUCAGUAAUGUCACAAAAUGUGUCACUUGUUCAACGCAGUUCCUUAAGAUUAUUAAAUUUAACAUCAUUCAGCUCAGAAAUCUAUUUGUUAUUAUGGGACAAUAUAACGGUCCAAAAGCUAGUAAUCUAGUACAAUGAAAUUGGUAUUGUAGAGAUCACCAACUUAAAAGAAAAUAAUAGAUGCCAUCGAAAGGUUGUAAAGUCAAUCUACGUCAUCAACAUGUCAUCUGAUGAGGAAAUUUUCUAAGGAAGACCAAUACUGCAGCACAAACAAAACGACAACGACGACAGCUAUCCUCCAAAUUCUUCGGUUUCCAUGUUAGAGAAAACAGAAAUAUCCAAAAAACCACAACCAAAUUAAGCUGGGGCCCACAUUUCAAGGUCCAGAACCUAACUAAAUUAGGCAUGAGAAAAGGUAUAAAUAUUUGCAUGGAGCUCAAACAAGCUGUGCAUAACGAAAGAAUUCAAAUAUACCGCUCAGCCUACCCAACAAAAAACUACCAAUGAACUCUUUCCCAUGACAAAUCAACUAUAAUCCUCCUCCUUCAACUUACACGGAAGUAGUAUCAACCACAGAGACCAAGAGCUUUAACAAUUCCCAAUUACAAAAAUAAACUCUAUCAUCCUUCAACCUAAAGCAGUGCCUUUGUCAAUACUUCAAUACUACAACUUCCCUCAACAGAUGAAAAGAUACUUUUAGAAAGUUCCUUAACAGCACAUGGAAACGGCAAUUAUAGUCACCUUUCCAGUGAAGAACAGUAUCCUUUCUAUUAAUAGAACAGAAGACAAGUAACACUGUGUACCUAUUGACUCUCUUGUUAAACGGUGCCACACACUUCACUGCAACACCUCUUAGAGCUCAACCAGCUGAUAUGAUAUGAACACUACUUUUAAAACUUAAAGACGCCUCGGAGAACACAAGCAAGAUUUAGUUUUGCAUCGAAAUCCUAACGGAAUAGAAUUUGAAAUGUUAUCAUUCCCCAAACACAUAUAGCCAGCUCCGCCCAAAUGGAAUUAAAUUAGCUAACAAAAUUAAACAGAAAGCAAAACCAAAUAUCCAAUUGAGAGUGAACAAAAUCAACCCCGAGCUUCAAAAUUCGAAAAUAACAAAAAAGACUGUAUACACUGCGAUUCUAGGUCAAAGUUUUGAGCUUCCUAAUUUUGUAGAAAAGCACACACACCUGCAUCGAAUUGGUAUUGGCCUGUGAUUUCUCCGGCGCACCCAUCGGAGCUCCCUACUCUGCGAUUCAAGUUUCGUAGCUAAAAUUGGGUAAUUGGGUAAGAGUCUGAAUCGAACAGGGGAAUUUGACAAAAUUUCAAUUAGGGUUUUGAGGGCGGGGCAAAAGAGAGAAGACGAGGGCAGAGGCAGGUGAUUAGGGUUCCCGGAGAUCAGUAGAAAACCCUAACCGCCAUUAACGUAGCAGUGUGAACCUACGAAUUUUCUCGCGCUUUCUCUCUCUCUCACACUCUCUCUCCGCUUUUUAUUCUUUUCUGUGCAAGUGUCUGAGCCCCGACCUUCACCUUCGAUAAUUAGAAGAAAAGUGGAAAACUAUUACGCAUGUUAGAAAUUGUCAUAUGCCCGUUAUACCCCUUGUUUUCAUGUGAAAUUACGGUGAAGCCAAUGACCAUAGAGUCCACGCACUAUCCACGCGCUUUCUUUUCGCGAUCAAAUCACGAGAGAGUUGGUAUAUCAUAUGCGUUGCUCUGCCCUGAAAAGCGGGUCCCUUACCUGCCUGUAGCUGAAAGACGCACACGUUCGCUUCUGAUUGGCUGCUCAAGAGUAUAUCACGUGUAGCUUCUAGUAACUAGCUGUGACGGAACGGAACUUCGCAACUCCUUCCGGUCGCCAAAGAACAACCGCGCAGGUUGCACCAAAUUUUGUGCAACCCAGAUGUAUGAUUAGUCUGGCACCUUUUGCUAGUUCAUUUGUGUUUGUGAGGACUUGGAAAACUAAAAUCUGGUUGAGAUGUGACGUGGCUUAUGGUGAGUGGAUGGAUGAGAUUAUACGGUUAGGAUGGGAAAAUGAGUGAACCUAGAGUUUGCCUUUCUCAUAAAAUGUUCUUUAUAAUCAUGCACUCCACGAAAAAAAAAACACAUAAUAUUAUUUUAUAAUAAAAAUAAAAUUGUUUCUCAAGUAUUUUCUGGUAUUUUCAUCAAAGGAAUAAGGAUCCAAAUAACAUUUUUGUUCUUAUAUGCUACCAAAUCUAUGGGACAACAUGCAUUAAAUUUUAGUGAGUUGCAAUGUAUAUUUGGCAUUACUUAUUUGGAGCAAAAAGUACUUUUUUGAAAACAUUUCUUCCGCCUGCAUGUUUGGUAAAUUAAAAAAAGAAUCUGAUUUUCAAUUACAUCCAAUGAAUAAUUUGCUAUGUUGAAUUUUGAUGGUUGAAUUGCAUUCAACAUAAGUCAAUUGCAGGUUUGAGUAUGAAAUAUGGUUUUAAUGGUGUUGGUUGGUGAUUGUGGUUGAGGUGAAGAAGCUGCUCUCUCUAGACUCCAGCUUGUGUUAGAGGAAGGUGCUAAUUGGCAAUUAACAAUGAAUUUUUGUGACUUUAUUGUAACUUAUUCUUAGAAUCAAUCAAAUUAUAUGCUUUACAUAUAAGAAAAUUCGAUGAAGAUAAAGUAUCGAUGGUCCAAUUAAAAUGAAGAUAAAGUAUACUACUAUUUUUUAAAUUUUAAAAAAAUUAUUAUCAUGAUUUAUUUUGCAGACAUUAGAGCUCAACCCGUUCAAACUGGUUAAAUCAAAUCAAUUCGAGCGGGUUGAUUAAUUUUAUGCUAAUAUAGUGUAAACUUGGACUAAUAUGAAGUAAAUUGCAAUUAGUUUGGUUUAAUAAAACUUUUUAUGUGCUUUUAGUAAAAACAGUUCCCCCAUAACUAAUCUAAACAGACCAAAUGACUACAAUUGAAAGUAUUCCUUAAAUCAAGUCAUACAAUAUAAAUUAUGAGAAGUUGCAUCAUUUUGUUCUUUUGAGAAAUAAAAUUCAUUGGCACAUUAGCUCAAAAGGAGUAAUUUUGAUAAGGAAUUUAUAUUUUUUCACAUUUUUACCCGUAGUCGUCACACCAGUUACCGUUAUGUUGCUAAUUAAUUUUGACUGCGAAAUGCAGGCCCAAUGCGCAUUUUAGCAAGCAGAGGAGAGGACAAUUAACAAAAGAUAGUAGAGCCCAGAAAGACAGUGAGUUGUUCAUCAGCCGCACUUUGAUAUAUCCGCCUGCUCCUACUACCUCUUAAUUCCUCAACGGACAAUUCGAGGCUGCCUCCUCGUCUCUCUUUCUUCAUCCCCCCAUAAUUAUAACAACAAACUUCCCUCUCUCUCUCUCUCUCAUUUCCUUUCAUUUGAUUUCUCUCUCUUCAGAUCUCUGUCUCCUCUUUCUCACAUUCCCAAAAUGCAGGCCUCGCUCUCUCUCCCUACCCUCUCUCCCACCAUUCCCAGAUCAAACUACGUCGUUCAAUCAAAGCCUAUCAAUCUCCGCUUCUGCGGCCUCAGAAGGGAGGCCUUCGGCUUCUCGUCUCUCAGCCACUCCGAUUCGCACCGAGUACGAGUCUCUGCUCCUUUGCGCUCUGCAACCGUCUCGGUCUCGGCCUCGUCAUCCGCUAAUGGAAGCCCUCCCAAGUCGUUCGACUACGACUUGCUUAUCAUUGGCGCCGGCGUCGGUGGCCAUGGUGCUGCUCUCCACGCCGUCGAGAAGGUACGGAAACACCCUUCUUUAUAAUUUACUGAGAAAUUGCGGCUCUGAGCUUUGGAUUUAGCUCAAUUGUCACUUUAUUGGUUGCUCAUCUAGCUUAACUUCUGUUCUAGUAGCUUCGAUCGUCUUUGCUUUUUGCUUAAAUAGACUGUACUAGCUAGCUAGAAAUGGCUGAUUUCUUUCUGUCUUCUGCUGCGGUAAGUUGUUCACUCGAUCAAAGGUACUGAAAAUGUGCAUGGCGUAAGUGUAUCUGUGCAUAUCUGAUAUCAUGGCAAGAAAUGCAUUAGCUACAAGCUUACAAUCCAUUUUAGUUUGAUACUUCAAAAUUAAUACAUAAGACUUAGAUAUCUAUGUGCAUGUGUGUUGGUAUGUAAGUAAAUACUGAAUUUAUAUAACAAACCUAGCAACUAUCAUGGUUGCCCUCACACAGUAACAGACAAUACUGGAGUUAGAAUAUAAAUUGAAAAAUAACUACCAACAUAAGACGUGGUGAGUUGUUUUUGUUAAAAUAUAUGUAUAUAUAUAUAUAUAUAGUACAUAUUCUCCUGUGUGGGGUUUUUGGAAAAGAAAGGCUCUUGAGUUGGUAUUUAUUGAUUUUUCUUUUCUUAACACAACAAUUGCAGGGUCUGAAAACUGCCAUCGUAGAAGGAGAUGUGGUGGGUGGAACAUGUGUUAACAGAGGAUGCGUUCCGUCUAAAGCUCUUUUGGCAGUGAGUGGUCGGAUGCGUGAGCUUCAGAAUGAACAUCACCUUAAGGCUUUAGGUUUGCAGGUAAAACAUGAUUCAGUGAUAUCAAUUGUAUGUACAUUUAUAUGUAUGUGCAGAGACAAGAUUUUAUUGGUUAGUUGUGAAAACUUAUGUAUCUUACAGUACUGCUUUAUUGUGACUUAUGAUAGGUUUCAGCAGCUGGGUAUGACAGACAGGGAGUAGCUGAUCAUGCGAAUAAUCUUGCAACAAAAAUUCGUAAUAGUUUGACCAAUUCAAUGAAUUCUCUUGGAGUGGAUAUACUGACAGGUGUUGGUACAAUUCUGGUAAGUCAUGCAUUCUUUCAAAUUGAUUUGGUAUCAACACAAUCAAAUGUUCGCUUGCCCAGUUAAGAAAUAAAGUUUGCUUUGUUACAAUGCUGAGCUUGUUAGGGCAUGGCUAUGAUUAAGUUUGAGAUCUCAUACAGCGCAAGUGCUGGCAAGUUUUCCUAACUUUGGUACUCUUAAUACGAAACUAUUCAGGGCCCGCAAAAGGUGCAAAUUGGAUCUUCUGACAAAGUAGUAACUGCAAAAAAUAUAAUCAUCGCCACUGGUUCUGUUCCUUUUGUUCCUAAGGGUGUUGAAGUCGAUGGUAAAAUUUAUAUGUUUCCUCCUUGUUGUUAUUGAAUAGUUGAUGAAAGCAUUUUGGUCUUAGUACCAUGCUUAAGGGAUACCUAGUGGUGACUGACAAUAUGAUGGAUCUGCAGGGAAGACUGUAAUUACAAGCGACCAUGCCCUCAAAUUGGAGUUUGUUCCAGAGUGGAUUGCUAUUGUUGGAAGUGGUUACAUUGGUCUCGAGUUCAGUGAUGUGUAUACUGCACUUGGGAGUGAGGUAGUUCCUUUCUUUUUAUUUAUUUUAUUUUUGUUUUUAUAAAUUACCUUUCAUCUGGUGAAUUUUUACAAUUAUUUUAUGUUAAACUAAUGAGCCUAGUCUUCCAUUUGAGGAAAACGAGUUUCUAUUAAUUGUAGUUUUAAGGCCUUAUAGCAUUAAACUAUGGAGACCUUGUAUGGAUCAAUCAGUAACUUCUCCUUGUGUCUACCAAUGCAAUAAGACACCUUUUUAUUUAUUUUUGGAUGAUCUAGGAGUUCUUAUCUCAUGAGGCAGUCUAGAUUAAUCUUAAGUCUUUUGCAGGUUACUUUUAUUGAAGCUUUAGAUCAGCUUAUGCCUGGUUUUGAUCCAGAGAUUGGGAAGUUAGCUCAGAGGGUUCUAAUAAAUCCACGAAAGAUUGAUUAUCAAACUGGAGUGUUUGCAUCGAAGGUCAGCUGAUGUUUAUUCUCUGAAUUUUAUACCAAGUGUUUUCAGGGUUUCUGUUUCCGUUUUUCAUUCUUUGGUUUUUAAUAGAUCACACCAGCAAAGGAUGGGAAACCAGUCACCAUUGAACUAAUUGAUGCCAAGACCAAGGAACCAAAAGAUACUCUUGAGGUAAUUAAUUGGAUCUGUUUAAACUUAUGUAACGUAUCCAGAGGAUAUAUUUUCCUGCCAUUAAUGGAUUUUGUCAUAUGAAUUUGAUAGCAACAGCCACAUACUUCGCUAGUUGAAUAAUACCUUUGUCAAGGAACAUGUUCUCAUCUGUGGAGCUUUAAUUAGCUAUUUAUAAAUUAACCUGCUGUAAUUUUGUUUCUGAACUCAGGCAUAUGCGUGUUUUAGACUUCCCAAUUGAUUCCUGAGUAGCUUGACUGGUUGCCUUAUAAUUACUGUAGGCAUUGUUAUUCCAGUUCAUAUGCAUAUAGGUUAUUCAGAGGCAUUUAUCUGGACCUUUGUACAUCCUCUUCUAACAGGUAGAUGCAGCAUUAAUUGCAACUGGAAGGGCCCCAUUCACACAAGGUCUUGGAUUGGAGAAUGUAUGACCUCACACUUUAUAUCCAUCUAAUUUUAGAAUGUUAUAUAUAAUUAUUCAGCAAACGAACAGCAAUAGUUUCUGACAUUGCUUUUCUACAGAUUGAUGUAGUAACACAACGUGGUUUUAUUCCUGUUGAUGAGCGCAUGCGAGUAAUAGAUGCAAAUGGCAACUUGGUACGUUGCAAAUUUCCUUACGAGCAUGAACCCUAGCAUUAACAUUAUAAAUUGUUUCUGAUGUGAAUUUUGAACAUCAGGUUCCUCACCUAUUUUGCAUUGGUGAUGCUAAUGGCAAGAUGAUGCUUGCUCAUGCAGCCAGUGCCCAAGGAAUUUCAGGUUAGUGUAACCAACCUGUUUUUAUUUGAACCUCUCUCUCUCUCUCUCUCUCUCUCUCUCUCUCUCUCUCUCACAUGCACAAAUAAGUGAUUAUCUUCAAAACCUUGUUCAGUGGUUGAACAAGUCACGGGAAGAGACCAUGUACUCAAUCAUUUAAGCAUCCCCGCAGCAUGUUUCACUCAUCCCGAAAUCAGUAUGGUCGGAUUGACAGAGGUGAGUAAUUUGCUAAUUGACAUAUUCAUUAUUCAUCAUCUAUGCUUUUAUUUAUCAGUGUUUAACAUAUUCGACCUUGAAUUAGAGAUCUUCUAGGUGUCAUCAUAUUGGCAGUUUAACUAAUCAAUUACAAUUUUCAGCCUCAAGCAAGGGAGAAAGCUGAAAAGGAGGGAUUCGAAGUAAGUAUUGCCAAGACAAGUUUCAAGGCCAACACAAAGGCCCUAGCAGAAAAUGAAGGAGAGGGACUUGCUAAGGUGAAAAAUAUGUACUGAGUACUUGUGUCGUCAAUGAAUUCUCCUUUAUGGUUGCCAUGUACUGUGGAUAUUGACGAUCCUGUUUCUGCUAUGUUUUAAUGCAGUUGAUAUACAGACCAGAUAACGGAGAGAUACUUGGAGUCCAUAUAUUUGGGUUACAUGCUGCAGACCUCAUACAUGAAGCAUCAAAUGCAAUAGCACUGGGGACACGUAUUCAAGUAAAUAAAGCCCGUACACUGCAAAUUAUGAUGCGCCCCUUGUAAUCUACCACUCCCAACUUUCAGUUUACUUAUAUUCUACUGUCUAUUCAACCUUGCAGGAUAUCAAAUUCGCAGUCCAUGCACAUCCAACUUUGUCUGAAGUGCUAGAUGAACUUUUCAAGUCAGCAAAGGUGAGCUGCUGACUUUAACUUCUUACGACAUGCUGUGUGGCUGCACUUCUUCUUCCUGAUAUGUGUUUACCCACAUAUCUUUUUUAAUUGUUGGGGCAGGUUAAAGAGCAUGUUUCUAGCCCAGUAAGUGAACCAGUUGCAGUCUAAGCUUCUCAAUACUCGAGUAUAAAUUUUGAAGAUAUUUGCUUGUAAUAGGGAGUUCAAGGAAGUUUUGUAUCACAAGACAAAAGAGAUCAUCAACACCAGGAGAAAAGAAGCAACUUAAGGGAAUUAAGGACGACUUGGCCCAAAAUAUUUUUCGCCUUUGUAUCUUGGCUUUUAAGUUUUUUUAAUGGCUUCAAGAAAUACUUGCAUUCGUAAUUGUUUUCACAUGGAAGCAUUGUUUUUGUAGUUUUAGACAGUGCUUUUAUAAAUAAUAGAAAGUUUAGUUUUAGACAGCAGCUUUUAUAAAUAAUAGAAAGUUUGCUUUUAAUACGAAACCCUAUUGUAAUUCUCAAUAGUACCAUUUCCUUUUUAAUAUUCAAAUUUAAUAUAUUUAAAAUUAAAAUUAAAAUUUUAUUUUUAUUUAUUUUGUCAAUUAUUUAAAAUUAAAAUUAACAAUCGUUUUCUAAUUUGGGGAAGAAAUGUGACAUUAUAAGUGAAUCUGAUUUAAAUUGAAAGAUACUACUUACUAAAUUCUUCUGAACUCCCAAAAUUCAAACAUCCCUAAUUACAACAAAAAUAGAAGGAAAAAGAGAAGAUGAACCGGAAAAAAAAAAAUUUGUAUUGGGGUAUAGGCUGAGUGAAUCUUUGGGGUACAGGCUCAGCGCAAAGUUAAAUACAAGGUAUGAUUCCUACACCUGUUCUCUCACAACACACCUUACUUCCUGAUCAUCCGAAUAUUAGGUUAUUGACAAAAAGAGAAAAGACCUUAUUGACUAAGAGACAGGUGGAUUGGGUCAUAACCCAGCUAAAGAGCCCAUGAUGGUAUUGCACCCAACAAUCUUGGUCUAGACUAGUACCUAAUUUUAAUUUUUUUCUUCUAAAAUUUUGCUAACCGUACCGAGAUGGGGCUGGAUUGGUUGAACUAUUGUUUUACUUAAAUAGGGCUGGGUCUGUGACGUGUCCUCCACUAGCGCAUUUUGGUUACCUCGAACAUCUCAAGAUGAAACAGAACCCACAGAAUUGUACUCUCUCCCUCCCUCCCUUCUCCGGUUGGGAAAAGAUCUCGUCUGAAUUUUAAACUCCAAGCAUGAAACAUGGCUAUAUAUAAUACUAAUAGCACCGUCGGUUUUGUGAAAAUCAUAUUAUGAGCAUGAUGACUCAUUAGAAUGAGAUUGACAUACAAUCUGAGCACCUGCUGCCUCAUUGAAAUGAGAUUACCAUGAAAUCAUUCUAUGGUUUGAUUGACAAAAAAUAUCAACAGGAUAAAAGACAUUAUUUGAUACAAAAUUUAAUCCAGUAAAUCCAUCAAUGCUAGCAAUACUAGAGAGUAUUGCAAAAAUUGAACUCAACGAAACCCCAUGAACAACAAUCUUCACAAAAACCCAUAUGUAUGAUCCUAGCAACCUUAACAAAAAUUUAUGCUUACCUAAAAUGCUCGUGAAAUAUCAGAGAAGCUAGCAUGAGCACGGACAGCCUAAACAAUAUCAUCAACCACAUAACUAUACAAGCAAACUAACUUUGUGCUGAUAAUAUAGGAAAACUCAUCUAUUGCAAUCAAAUAAAAAUAUUAAGAAACCAUAAAGAGCAAUAGAUUAAGUCAAAUAUUUAUUGUAGUUACCCCUCACCCGAGGUACUGCGUUCAAGUUCUUCAUCCUCCAAGAUCGCUUGUAUAAAAUAUAUAAAAAACCACUAAAAGUCUUUACAUUCUCCUUUUUUAACACAUGCUCACAUCAUUGUCACAGACACAACAUCCGAUUUUGAUCAACUAGAUAAUACUAUGUUAGGUAUUUUAUCGUAGUUACAUCGAUUUUUUCAUAUAUAUUUUUUUGGCAAAUUUAUUGAGAUGAUAUUUAUAAUCACUCAAAUGUUGAAUUUGGUCAACUUCUUGUUAAGAUUAUAAAAAUUUCGACAAUAUCUCGGAGAAGGUAUUUAAAUUUUUCCAAUUUUUGGCGUAUGUAUAAGGUCAUCAACAAGGGUCUAAAAAUUCCAACAUUUUAACAUAAGCUGAAGGUUGUUCUGUGGCAUAUAUGACAUCCUUUUUCGCGCAUCUAUCAUAUCAGUAACGGUCUACAAAUAAGGAUACUGACUUAUGAUUAAUUAUUAUGUUAUCAAGAAUUGAGUGAUGCAUUUGUAUAAGGUCAAGACUCAACUAACGGUAUGUUAACACAAACUAGUAGCAUUGUUCUAGUUGGGUAAGAUUUCGUGUUAAUGCUAUGCUUUAGCUGACGUUAGUUACUUUGCAUGUAAAUGUUUGAGUUGAAAAUUAGUAAUUUGUGGUAGGAAAGAGCAAAGUGGACAGUGCGGGGUAAAAUUUUGUUUUGUUGUCUAAGGUCGAUGGUGCAUCUGGUAAUAGGUCUUUUCUCCUCUUUCUUUUGUAAGGAUGGAUGGUGUAAUGAGAACAUUUAAACUUUGGUAAGUUACAAAAAUAUAAACUCCCUAAAAUAUAAUUACAUAUUACAAAUUAUUCUACAAUUGAAAGGAAAAGAUUUUUGGAGAAUACCUAAUUUUAAUUCUUUCGGUGCGCUGCCUUCCUCGUCAUAGAGAAUUACCAUUUUAGUUACCUCCAACAUCUCAAGAUGAAACAGGCCCAACUGGAGACACUAGUGGGAUCACUCUUGAGAGAGAGAGACUAGUGGCAUCCACUCGAGGGACAUUUGAAACUAGAACAAAGGGAAAAGCUCUGUUGUUCUGCUGUUAAACAACAGAUUUUAAUAUGGAGGGUCGUCCUUCAGAAUUUUGAACUCGGCAUGAAAAGCUAUGUAUAACACCAUGUUCAGAAUUUUGAACUCGGCAUGAAAAGCUAUGUAUAACACCAUGAUGAAAGGAAUAGCCGUUCAUCACAAAAGAGAUAUAGACACAAAAAAUACGGUUUAAAAAAAAAAUCAUCUCAGGAGCAUGAUGACUCACUAGAAUGAGAUUGGCAUGCAGUCUGAGCUCCUGCUGCCCAAUUGAAAUGAGAUAGGCGUGCAAUCUAAGCUCCUGCUGCCUCGUUGCAAUGAGAGUGGCAUGAAAUCAAGAACAUUAUGAAUGGGGGUGAUACAAACUACAUUCCUCAGAUAUUUGAUCAAACUCUUUGGUUGCAUUCAUUUCAAUCCAUUCAAGUCUAACAACCAAAACUACCAUAAGCAUCCAUGAUGAUUAUUCUAACCCGAAAAUCAACCCCAUAAACAAAAACAAACAAAAAACAAUUCAUCAUAUCUUAACCGCAACUACAAUCUCAGUUUAUAUCUUAGUAAGUCUGCAGAAAAACGUAUCUACAACAGUCCAAAGAAUCCAAUUGGACUAAGGAAACUAGCAAGGCUACAAAUUAAAGUUGUGAACCCAAAUUUUAAUCUGGAAAACAAAUCAAUGCAUACUAGACAAUAUCCCAAAAAUUAAACUCAACGAAACCCCGGAUGAACAACAAUCUUCACAAAAACCCAGAUAAGUGAUCCUAACAUCAUUCAUAAACAUUUCGGCUUACCUAAUAUGCUAGUAGGAUGAGCAUAGACAACCUAAAACAUAUAUCAACCACAUAACUAUAUAAGCAACAGCAGGAAAUUGAAAGAAAGAAAUAUAGGAAAACUCUUCCAUUCCAAUGAAAGAAAGAAACCAUAAAGAGCAAUAGAAUUAAGUCAAAAACUUAUAUCCAUAACAAAAGUAGCAUUUCAGGACUGCUGCUCGUACAUGUAAAUUGAAAUGAAAUCCACUAAAGUAACAUCAAACUACUAUGUUACUAAUGACAAAUUAAGCAUAAAAUGACAUCAAAACCAAAAUAACCCUAAUCAGGGAAAACCCCAAAAAGAGCCAUGAUUUGAGGUCCACUCCCACUCUAUUCUUCCUCGGUGGCUGAUUCGUUCUUGGUGUUGUUGUGCUUCCUGGCGUACCUUUGGUUCCGCAGGAACUUGGGGUCCAUCUAAACCCAAAAUCCAAUUGUUAGGGAAAUAAAAACCCCAAAUACAAAGCAAAAUCAAAAUCAAAAUCAAAAUCAAAAUUAAUUAAGGGAUGGAAGUUGAAAUCAGUACCCCUUUGGUUGAAGUGUGGCGGUGCCUCUGAGGCUUCUUGAUGCCGUUCCUGUGAGCCUUGCGGGACUGGUUGUGAGCGGUGUGGUUCUUCGACUUGGCCAUCUCUGCAAUCACAAACCCAAAUACAAACACAAGUAAUUAGUAGCAGAAAUGGAGCUGAGAAUCAGGAUAGAGAGAUUGAAGUAAGAGCUUUUCUAGUUCAGAGAAGGAGAGACGGCACGAACCAGAAAGAGAACGAGGGAUCUAUCAGAGACGUCGAUUGGGUGUUAGGGUUCUCUUUGAAGCAGCAAAAUGAGAAGUUGGGCUUUAUAUGUGAGCUACUGGAAAAACCCUAGCUUCUGGCUCUUGUAUUUUUAUAAUGACGAAAGUACCCUUCCAUUGCCGAUUGGAAAAAAAGUUCGGCUUGUGAUUGGUUGGGCUGCUCGCUUAAGAGCCCAAUCGUGAUAAGAUUGGGCUUUGUUGGUAUCAUCGAAAACCCAAUUCCUCUUACCUUCUUUUUUUUGAGGUACUAUUUUUCUUUCCCUUGUGACUUGCAGAUUUUACACAAGGUCUUGCUAAAAUCUAAAAAAAAAUUGGAGAAGUUGUGGAGAGAAAUUAAAGAAUUAUGAAUAAAAUCAAAUUGAGAAAAAAAAAAAAGGAUUGUUAACAAUUAUUAAUCAAAUCAAGUUGUGUAGUGUUUUGUUUGAUUAAAGGAUUAUAUAAUAUAUAAAGUUAUGGCGUCUAUUCACUCAAGCCCAGAAACCACAUGUAAUCUACAUAGGGUUUUAUUUAUUUAUUUAUUUAUUUAUUUUUUUUGGGGGUGGUUUUGGGUUGGUAUUUCAGUCGACUAAUGAAAGGUAGAUGCAUUUUAAAAAACAAAAAAAAACAAAACGAUAAUAUAAACUACAGAAAAAGGUAGACAUACGUUUAGAUUAGAUUAAAGUAGUGGAUGUGCUCUCCACUAUGCACUCAAGUUUGAAUCUCAUCCCCGUAAUUUAGAUUAGAUUAAAGUAAAAAAAUUUUAUAAAAAAAUUAUAAAUAAGAGAUAUUUCUCACAAACGCUAUCAAAGUAUCAUCAUUUCCUUUCUAUAUUGCUAAAAAGGGAUGUAUUUCAUCUUAUUUUGUAAAGAGGAAAAGUAAAUUAAUGGUCCAAAGUCAAAACGACAGAGAGGCAAAUGCAAUUACAAAACAACAAGGCAAGCCAAUCAGAUUUAGGUAAGCACAUAAAAUUUAUUUUCCAAAUUACAUAAUAUUUCCCAUACAUAUUUAAUCAGAGUUAGGUGAGUAUUUAUAUCAACCUCAAUAUGGUGAAAAUUAAUCUCACAUAAUUCAUCAAAAUCACCACCAUCACUUGCUUGCAGAGCCCAGAAAUCCACCGGCUCCAGUUGUAACGCUGAACUGGCACACAAACGACAACACUUUACAGCCAUUUAAAUAAAAUUUCUUUAUUUCGUCAUUAUUUCAUUAGUCUGUUUCGAUCUCUGCGCUUGAUUUGUUGUGGGUAUUUAGUAUUUCUCUCGCCAACCCACCGAUCUGGUCCUUGAGAAGAAGCCAUGUUCCUGGUCGACUGGUUCUAUGGCGUCCUUGCCUCUCUGGGCCUGUGGCAGAAGGAGGCCAAGAUUCUGUUUUUGGGCCUCGACAACGCCGGCAAGACCACGCUCCUCCACAUGUUGAAGGAUGAGGUUUCUCUCUUUCUCUUUUUGCAUUAUCAUGGCUUAUUUUUGUUGGGUUUUUCUUGAUUUUGAUAAAUAUGUAUGUAUGUGGUGAUGGGUUGUUGCAGAGACUAGUGCAGCAUCAGCCGACCCAGCACCCAACUUCGGAGGAAUUGAGCAUUGGGAAGAUUAAAUUCAAGGCUUUUGAUUUGGGUGGCCACCAGAUCGCUCGCAGAGUCUGGAAGGAUUACUAUGCUAAGGUGUUUAGACUCACACCCAGUAUUAGAUUUGUAAUACUAAGUUGUUCUAAGAUUUGAUUGAUUAUAGUUUUCAGCUGAAACAUGAUCUGCACAUUGCUUGCUAUGAAUUUCGUGCUUGCACUAUAAGGAUGGCUGCUACCAAUACGUGAAUCAUAAUCUCUUGUUUUACUUGAGUGGUAAAUUAUGUUUCUGGGUUAAAAAUCUCAUACAAUGGUACAGUUUAUCAGAUUUGGGAAGGAUUCCUACGCAGUACAGAUUGUUUCUAACUUUCAUUUAUUUAUAUAUUUCGAUGUCUUUCUUUGUUUUCAAAUUUUUUUGGAUGAUUGUAGCUUUUGUUGCUUGUCUACAUCAUGUUUUAAUGCAACUAUUGGGUUUAUCUCAGUAGAUGGGAAAGCUGAAAGUAGGAUGGCUGCUACCAAUACGUGAAUCAUAAUCUCUUGUUUUACUUGAGUGGUAAAUUAUGUUUCUGGGUUAAAAAUCUCAUACAAUGGUACAGUUUAUCAGAUUUGGGAAGGAUUCCUACGCAGUACAGAUUGUUUCUAACUUUCAUUUAUUUAUAUAUUUCGAUGUCUUUCUUUGUUUUCAAAUUUUUUUGGAUGAUUGUAGCUUUUGUUGCUUGUCUACAUCAUGUUUUAAUGCAACUAUUGGGUUUAUCUCAGUAGAUGGGAAAGCUGAAAGUAGGCUGAUUUGUUUGCUAUUGCUGGUUCGCAUGUUUUGCCUUCAUAAUCCCAGCUAAAAUUCCCUUUUGGUUAUCCGAUUCAUGGGAGGCAAACAUUUACAAUGGAGAUUUUGCUGAGAGCACCUUUUUUUUUUUUUUCCAGUCUUUCUGGAGGUGUUUUACUUGUGUCUUUCCAUACAUGGUGUCCUAUGAAAGCUAUCAUGAUUCAUGACUGUGGUUUGGGCUAGAGUUGAUGACCUAUUCUUCCAUUAAGAAAACCUGGGUCUCAACGUUUUAUUCUGUGGAUUAACUUGACACUAAUUAUUUCGUAGUUUUAGAAAACAACAUAGAGUAUGGUUCAACACCCUAAACCAUGCUUUUCUGUUUUUCUUUUCCUGUUUAUUGCUGACGUAUGGGAAAAUGUUUUAAGUCAAUUUUAUAUGUUUGAGACCUUUAAUUCGCAAAAAGUGUAACUUAUUCUUGCCAUUCUGUCCUAGCUUUUCAAAAAUCACAGCAUCAACUUACAUGUAUUCACGCACAUGCUUCCUAGUUCUUUUUCCCUUUCUAAUAAAUAACUUUGUAGACCUACUCCAUAUUUCCUAGUGGAGAAGUCAGAAGAGUGAAAAAGAGAAGACAACCGUAAGAGACUUAUGAAAAGUGGAAAGUGGGUUUAUGACUUAUGAGCUAUUCCAGACAUUUGAAGAUUUAGUUGAGGUUGCUUCUCUUCACAGGGGUGCCAAUUUGUGUGGUGAUUAUAGUUUGAAUUAGACUUGAGGACCUCCCAAAGUAAAUGCUUAGUAUUUACCUUCAUGCAUUCAGUUUGGUUUCCCUUACACAUGACAAGUACAGUCUUUAUAUCAUCUCUGCCCUCUCACGGUUUUCAUGAUUGCAUAUGAAAUUCUUUUUUUUUUCCUGCACCAAGCUCUACUUUAUCAAAUAUAUAAAGUGCUAUAAUUCCUUUACUGCUCGAGUUUGUGAUUCCUUCAUUCCUGUUAGUGAAUUUGAGUUAUCUAGGAUUGUGCCAAAGUAAAUAAAUGCUGCAAGUUUUUAAUUCAACUUUUUUUCUUCUCUGUUGUGAACAGGUGGAUGCAGUGGUUUACCUGGUUGAUGCAUACGACAAGGAUCGUUUUGCAGAAUCAAAGAAGGAGCUGGAUGCACUCCUUUCAGAUGAGAGCCUGGCAACUGUUCCAUUUCUUGUGCUGGGCAACAAGAUUGACAUACCCUAUGCUGCUUCAGAAGAGGAGCUGCGAUAUCAUCUAGGACUGACUAACUUCACUACUGGGAAGGGAAAAGUGAAUCUUACGGACACCACUGUCCGCCCCCUAGAGGUUUUCAUGUGCAGUAUCGUCCGCAAGAUGGGGUACGGGGAUGGCUUCAAGUGGGUCUCCCAAUAUAUCAAAUAGAGAGUAGAGUAGGGGGAUCCUUUUUGGCGUAGUAUUUGUGUGGUACUUUUUUCCUGCGAAUUUGUAGUAUCUGACCACAAUUAUAAUGGAAGAGGAUUUUCUUAUUUGAUUUUUAUCAGAUUGAAGGAUUAAACACUAUCAUCAUAAUAUAUCAAUUUGUUGCAAUGUUCGAUUUUAAAUAUGUGCUUCUUGAACCAGAUUCAGUGUGAUUCUUUUCUGAUAAACUAUUUACUAUUUUUAAGCAUUGUUUUUGGUUGAGUAGUUUCCUAUUCCUUUUUUCUUUUGAAUUUCUUAAUUGUUUGAACUAUGUUUCCCUUCUAGUGAUGUGUUGUACUCUACACUUUUGCAGCACUGAUAAUUUCUCUGGUUGUGCUGGUUUUGGCAUGUUCUUUCUAAUGAGCAAAACACCAGCAACCCCCCCACCCUCUUCCUAGCAGCCUCGACACCAAACCCCUCCCAACACACCCGCAGGAGUCAACCACCCACUUCUCCAGCACACACAACACCAUCGAUGUCUCUUUGUGUAUGUCUCUCUGGAACUGACUCUGAAAAGAAUACCCUGAAACUUUUAUUUCCUAACAAAUCUGUAAGAUUUAACACGAAGAGCUGUUGAGUUGGGGGAACGCGAGGUUGUGUGUUGUAUGGGUUCUCUCAAAUCUCGUAGAAGCAAAGGUAAUUAAAAAGAAACUCUUAAGCCAGUAGGAUAUAACUUUGUUGGUUGAGCCCUUUCACACUUUCACAUUCAUCUCUGUAAUGGAAGAAGAGGUUCGAAUAUCCAAUGAAUAUUUUGUGUAAAUCCUAAACACAAAAAUUUUGUCAUUAUAAAAAAGUGACUGACAAACACAACUUUAAAAUUUUAGGGAAAUAAAAAAGUGAUGAUCUGGCACUGGCGUUGUACUAGAUAAUCACCCUCAGCUCAGCAUGCCCUGAGAUGACUCCACGCAUGCAUUUUUGUCGAGGCUCCUUCCCUCCACUGACUCUACCAGUUUCCAACUCGAUGGCUUUGACACAAAACACAACGCAAUGACGCGUACCACCCAAUCACAUCGCUCCACGUAGGGUCCGCACUCCCCAAACCGGCAUUUUACGGUCACCAUACGUAUCCACCGGCUCCACGUCAUCACCCUUCUCUCACCAAACCUCUCCGCUUACCCACCAAAGCAGUCAACACUGUCCAGCUUACGCACUCUUUGACCGUCCAUAAAAAUAUAUAAUUUCCCGGAAAAUCUUUCAAAAUACCAACCAAAACAGAAAAUUAGGAUAUUCCGUCACUUUUCCCUCACCUUCUUCUUUCAGAAUCUGAGUUAAAUUUUGUUUUCAGUGGAAUUUGAAAAUCUCUGUGCUUUGAAUUUCUCUUCGGAUAUGUUUCUGGUGGAUUGGUUCUAUGGGGUUCUGGCGUCGCUAGGGCUAUGGCAGAAAGAGGCGAAGAUCUUGUUCUUAGGGCUUGAUAAUGCCGGAAAGACCACCUUGCUUCACAUGCUCAAAGAUGAGGUGCCGGGUCUCUCUCGUUCUCUGUCUUUAUUUGAAUUUCUUAUUUGGGACGAUUGCUGUUUCGUUUUGGGUUGAACAAGUUAGGGUUUUUUUGGUUGCAGAGAUUAGUUCAACACCAACCGACCCAGUAUCCGACCUCGGAGGAACUGAGUAUAGGGCAGAUUAAGUUCAAGGCCUUUGAUUUGGGUGGCCAUCAGAUCGCUCGCAGAGUCUGGAAGGACUAUUACGCCAAGGUUUAGAUUUUACCCAAAAUACCAAUUCAAGUUCUUUGAUUUUUGAUAUGGUAAUUUAGGGUUUGAUUUGAUUCGUUCUUAGAAAUUGUGGUUGCAUGUUAUAGAUGUUGGAUAAAAAAUGAAAAGUUUAGCAUAUACAUGCGUGUGUAUGGUAUGUUUGUGUAUGUAUAUAUGCAAUGGAAUAGAACCCUGUUGGAAUAAAGAAAUAAUGGAACCCUUGGUAGUGACUAAAUGAAUUUUUAAGCCAUCCCUUGUUUUUGUAGUCACUCACAUCCAUGGGUAAGUCACAUGCAGUGGAUUUCAUGUUAUUUUAUUCCUAUUCCUAGUCCUUGAACUUGAAGUUAUAGGUGCAGGGUUGCAGUCAAGAGUUUGGUUGGUUGUGAUUACUAUAAGCCAAUUGAUGGUUUUUGUCAAAUUAAUUUUGGGUUCUAAUGGGUGAUUUUCUCAGAAUGGGGCUUAGCCCAUGAUUUGUCUUUAUGUGAUGAGCAUAUAUUCAUACAUGAUGUGCUACCUAUUUGAUUGUUUAGGUGGAUGCUGUAGUCUACCUGGUUGAUGCUUAUGACAAGGAGAGAUUUGCAGAGUCAAAGAAGGAGCUCGAUGCUCUUCUCUCCGACGAGUCACUUGCAAAUGUCCCAUUUCUCAUAUUGGGAAACAAGAUUGACAUACCUUAUGCUGCCUCAGAGGACGAGCUGCGUCACCAUAUGGGCCUGACAAACUUCACCACAGGUAAAGGGAAGGUGAAUCUGGCCGAUUCCAAUGUUCGCCCCCUUGAGGUGUUCAUGUGCAGCAUUGUCCGUAAGAUGGGAUACGGCGAAGGCUUCAAGUGGCUCUCUCAAUACAUCAAUUAGGCGGAACAAUGGAGAAGCAGCUGUGCCACAGGAGAUGGUAGUUUUGCUGCCGCUUUUGGACUCUCCAUUAGAUUUGAUGUUGUCUAUUUCAAAGCAUAGAUGCUUAUGUAAAGUGGAUGUGUUAUCUUUAGAUGCAUAGCAGGUUUUUGCUCUUCAAUUUUAGCUUCGAAACCCAGUGUGCAUUUUCUUACUAUUUCUUCUAUAAUGUUUUUUUAUGUUCAGGAUAGGUUAGUUGUGUUAGUUUUCUUACCAUGUAUUGGUAAUUAGAUUGCAGAACCAAUGAAUAUUUACAGAAUGCCUACUCUGCCUUCAUGCUUCCUGUUUUUCUACCUUGCCAAGUAGCACUGGUGACCACUCUCACAAGUGACAAGCUACCAUUCAAUAAGUAGGGUCUCCCACUUUCCACCGUUCAGUGUUUAUCUAUGACCUGCAAGUGAUCAAAUGUGGACCUAACCACCAAGGCUACAACUUCAACUACCAAAAGGUAGUGCUAAGGUUCUUCAUUGAUUAGAACAUUGACCAAAUAGUAUGGUGGGGAAACAGAUUACACACACAGAUAUGAACAAGAUGUGGUACUUCCACAAGAACACUAAAAACCAAUAAGCACAUUACGACUGACCCAUUAUGAUACGGUCACUGAAACUAGAACCCUCCUCCCAACAAUCCUAAAACGGUCUGAAAAGGUCAAAAUCGCAAAACUAUUUGUUCUAGGCAUUUACAAGUUAUACAGGCUACACAACUACAGAGAGCUCCACCCCGAGUUUUUCAUUUGCCUGUCUAGACCUCAGGAAUUUCUUCAACUAUCCAUGUUAGAGUCAGGAUCCAGAAGCUCUUCGAAUUCCAGCUGCAGAAGAUAAAGAUUUGAUUGGUUAAUGUAUCGGCAGAAUUGUACUGUAACAUUGAUGGAAGAAUUCUAACCAGAUCACUCACCUUUGCUUCAAUGUGGGUCAACUUCAUCCGACUAUAUUCUUCUUGUGCUUUCUUUGAGCGGAACAUGGCCUGAACCCGUACAACAGAUCUCUCAAUGCGCUCUUCAGCUUGUUUCCGGCUGGCCCGGUAGAAGUCUUCUUCUGUAUCACUUUCCUGCUUCUGAUCUACAUCAACUUCAACUGGGGCCACAUUAAGCCCACGAAGCCCUCUUCUUUUCAAACGCCACCGCAAAACAGCUUUCUCAAGCACUCCAACUGACCAAAGAACUUUACGGUACUGCCUCCGCACUUGGAAUCCCCGAAAAGCAGCCUGCAUAAAAUGAAAAUGCAAUCAACCAAUUUUUCCUGGACACUCAAGAGUUAAUCCACCACUGUUACUGCAUGUAUUAAUCACCAAAUUUUAAAAUACAUAUAAUUCAUUAACAAUCACAAUGAUAUCAUGCACCAAGAAUUCACGACCAAACAAAAAUCAUACACCAAGAAUUAGAAUGGAGCGCCUUUGGGGUGGGUGGGAAUCCAGUAGUACGUUCUAGUCAUGGCUAAUAAACCAAGUUACCUAAUACAAAUGAAGGUUGCUAUUUGACCAAUCAAAUGUAAAACUGAUUGACCCUAUGUGAAUUGACUCAAAAAUGUCCUAUUUAAAUUUGAUUUUCCAAAAGGAUUUGUUUAUGUCACUCUGUGGUUCAUACUAGCCGUAUUCACUUGUCAACUAUGCCAGAAAGAAGGGAAGAGGCUUUACUUGAAUUUUGAUAGCUUGACGGCGCAAACUAAGGAAUUCUUGGCGCAUCUUCCAGGUACGAAACCUAUAUUGAAUGCGGGCAGCAGCUUUGAUCUUUUUUCGUGUAUCAUAGUUGCGAAAGGCAUGUUGAAUUUUCAAUGCUGCAAUUAUACCACGUGCUUCAGCCUCUGGAGUGGAAUACUGAACUGCUUUUGCCUUUAAUUUUAGUGAGUUCUCCCUGAAGGCAGCCUGUAUUCGUGCCGCAGCAUCAGCAGCUGUCCGAUAAGCUGCCAAAGUAUCCUUCAGAUGUAUCUCGUCCUCACUGAGGUUCUCAGAGUUCCCUCCAUAGUUUGAGCUAGUUUGAAGGGAACCACUAGCAUUUCCAGCUAUGCUCAUAUCCUUGAAUUGUUCUACCAAAGCCUUCUCUGACAGAUAAGCUGCUAAGCCAUCAUACCCCUUCAUGGCUGCAAGAUCAGCAGCAGUGUAUCCACCAGGGUUUUCUGAACUGGGGUCAGUGACCAAGUUUGGCUUUGCCCCCGCAGAUAAAAGAACUGCAACCAUUUUCUCCCUACACAUGGAGACUUUUAGCAUUAAGAAAAUCUCAGAAGAUAUAAUUCCAAUCUCGUCACAGAAUGCAUUUAAACAAUUUUACUCCACGUAAAUCAAUUUCAGAUGCAUGUAAAACAAACAUUCACAAAAUCAAUACGAGCAAGAAGAUAAAAAUUGUUGACAUAAAGCUCAAGCUAUCCUGCAUGAGCAGAGGAUAUAGAGUUGGAAAAGUUCUACCAUACAAGUAUUAAAAGUUAAACAGAACACAGCAAACCUAAGUAGUGAUGUAGAAGAUAUUUUUGAGAAAAAUACAAUUUAAAAUAAUAAGCGAGCGAUAAAACCAUACCUUCCACAAUAAUUAGAAUGAAAGGUUAUACAUAAAAAAUAUUAAAAAGAAUAUAAUGUCAUACCUUCCACAAUAUGCUGCCCAAUGAAGGGCUGUCCAUCCACGUCUAUCACGAAAGUCUAAUGACAAGCCUGACCACGAAAACAAGCGAACAGCCCAUGUGUAUUCUAGAAUAGCACAUAAAUGGAUUACUCCUUGGCCAUAAGCAUCAUAUUCUUUGGUUGUAGAGCUGUCAACAACUUUCUCCAACAGCCAAUCCUUUAAUCUGUUCUUCAAAAUGAGUUCGAACAGACCAUCCUUUGCCAGUGGUAACGGACUUUUUUUGUCUUCGACUGCCUUCAUCAAACAUGCCCAGCUAUUAGAUAUGUGCGAGGUUCUGUGGGAAAACUUCUUGGCUUCUUUCAGGGCAUUCAGUGAUACUUUAUUAGAUACAAUGUUAAGGCUCUUAGAUGAAGAGAAAAGCAAAUAAGCAAGCCGCAUCUGGGCUUGGAACUCUUCCCAGUUGUUCUCUUCCGAAGAAAUAAUUGGAUCACUCAAAACAGGAGCACGAUAUUCGAAGUUUAGUACUAGGCUGAUGGGUUUAUGGCCAUCAAUACUCAUAAAAAGGUUUACUACUCUGGGUAAAUGUGGUGGUACAAAACAGCGAUACACCCCAGCCUGAACAAUUUCUGCACGAAGACAUACGUCGCCACAAAUACAGAGUAGAUCGGACUUUGCAAGAUGUAAAUACUCUUGGUGAAAGAAGCCAGUGAUUAGAAUCUGCAAAAGGAUUAGCUAGAUGAUGAAAUUUAUGUUGAGCAGUACAACCAGAAUAUUCAGGUUAAUUAAAACAUAUAAAAGAAGGGUCAUUCAAAAUCAGGACAGAUCAACAUUUGUCAUGCCAAGCUAGAGGCCUGAGAAACAGUUAUGAGGGCCACUUUUUUCAGCUUCGAAAAAUGAGAAACAGAAGUUCAUCUUCCACCAAAAGUCAAGAUCCAGUUUCAUGUAUUUGCCUAUUGACUUUAAAAUAUUUCCUUUUUUUUUCUUUACAGAAGGACUAGAACCUACGGUAUAAUCCUUACCCUGCUCACCCAAUCCCAAUGUCACCCGAGCCAAGGCCCAAGGGAUUUAUUUGUUCUUAUUGAUGCACUAAAUAAAAUAUGUAGCCCAUUUGGAUUUAGUUCUAAAAGCACCAUACUUCUGAAUAUUCCUGUACUAAUGAACAUGUACAUUGAUCAGAUUCCAAAUAAUUCAAUUUACCUGCCACAUAAGAAUCAUUUAUUUUGUUAAAAUUUGCUUUGAUAUUUUAAUAUUUCAAUAUGUCACCGUGAUGUUAGGUAUAUCACAUGAUUUGAUAUGCUUGAAUAUUUUUUUUUUCAACUAAUAUGAAAUAACUUAUCAUUGUCAGCACAAUCAAAGGAUGAAUAUCUCUUCUUAAAUACUUAAAUAUGAGUUGUUAAAGAUUUCCUAUUGGAAUUUGAAGAACAAGAUUUCAACUUUAUUCAUGAAGAACAAAAGGUAGCCAUCAACAGUCAACGAAUAACGUAAACAAUAAUAAGGGGUGUAAAGCAAAGAGGAAAACCUUUGUUUUUUCGUUUGAAAAGGCCCAUGCAGGUGACAGAUCAGUUAUAUUAAAUAUUUGGUGAGGAAUAGAAGAUUGAAGAUGAUCAGCUGAAGGAGAAGCAAAUGAAUUUUGAGCAGCUAUAGAUGAGGAUUCAAGUGCUGGGUCUUCCACUGAGCCUGGAGGGUCUGCCAUGACCUGGUUUAUCCACCUUCCAAAACUGUCCUGACUAUGUAAUCCAUCAUUAACCAAAACGUCCAAGGAAUCACAGGUGGUCUUGGCAAUAGAAUCCCUUAUCUGGACAUUUGAAUUCACAUCAUACUCCACUGUCGGAACAUACGGACUGUCUGGAAGAUUGAAUUGAACGUCAUCACUUCUCAAAGUUGGAUUGGUUAAAUUACCAAAAGCAGACAUUUCAGCUGAUAUAACGCUGGCUCCCUGCAAAGACAAACCAUUUAUGCAAAUGAGUUGCAGCAGAACAAUAUGCAAUGACAUACAACACAUGAAAAAUAUAAGAACUAAUAAAAUGCCAAAUGAGUAUAAGAAAGAAUAAAUUGCCAAUGUGGAAGGACUAAAAUAGAUAGAGAGCAUAGAUUUAGAAUUAUGAAUGAUUCUACUUACACCACUUAUGAAGCCAUUUCCUACGACUUGAUUCUGCUGGUCAUAGCAUGAGACUAUGUCUGGCACCCCAAAAGCCCACCACAGAGAGAGAAUAAUGGUUAAUACUUCAUCAUUUUGGGUUCUGCUCUAGCAAUAACUGUUAUCUGGUCACUUACCUCCUUUAGAAUCAUUUGUAAUCAGAAGUUCCUCCCAUUCAAGUGUAUUGAUAUCAUGGAGCCUCUUUUCAUGAUUCUUAACAGUCAAACCAUCACCAGGCUCUGUUGAUCAUAAAAGAACCAAGGGUAAGAACCUUGUAUAUCCGUUUUCACUAAAAAUAGCAAAAGGAAGUAGCAACUUAACUAAACAAGGAAAAAAAAAUUACUAAAACAUCAAGAAGAAUGAAAAAACAAUUCUUAUCAUGAUAAGUAAUUUAUCUUCUAACAUAACUAAGCUCCAAAUUCUGUUGUGGUUUGCUGAAAUGACAGAGACUAUUCCCAAAACAAAUAUAUAUCAUGAUAAUUGGGGUAUCCCUCAAAUAAUGUUAUUUGAGGGACACCCUUUAGGGUCCCCUACAAUUGUUUUUUCAACGAUCCAAACCGUCUAUUUUUCAAAUCUUCAUUCAUAGACCUUCCUUGCAAAAAAAAUCUUGCAAAUUGAAAAUCAUUAAGGCAUCUAAUUGGGACCAAAAUAGAUGAACACGAUGCUUCAAGAAAAGACUAUAAUAACAACCAUCUAAUUGGGUGGUCAAAUGGUUUCGGAUUGAAAUGAUUUUUUGCAAAGAUGAUCUUUGAUGGAAUAUCUAAAAACUAGACGGUUCAGAUUAUUGAAAUACAAUGCAUGGUGGAGCCUACAAGGGUGUCCCUCAAACACGCUUAUUUGGUAGGGCCUACAAGGGUGUUUCUAUAUAUAAUAUAAUUUAUAUAAGUCAUCUUGCAGAAAGUUCAUAUGCAGUCACCUGAAAGUUCAUUUUCACCAGCACAAAAUGUCGUGUUAGCCCCUGAAUCAAGUUCUUCUGAUAAAAGCCAAGGAGCAGAUGGGUCAGAGACAGAACUAGAAUUAUUUGAAUUCACAGGUGUGACUGGAGAACCCUGCAACUGCAUGGUAAGCAAACAACAGCACAAUACUAGGUUAGAAGAUCUAGUUGGUUAUUGAAAAAAUGGCACAAAGAAUUGGUUCCAGAUAUUGCCAAGUUCUACCACUUAUGCGUGAAGGUAUUACCAAGCUCUUUGUUUUAUCAUAAAAAUAAGAAAUCGAAGAGUGCCUCAUGCAAUUUGACAGAAGCCACAGAGUGUACAGUGUAUAAAAUUAGGAUUAAAUGUUUGCAUCACACCUAAUUGCUUUUUGAACAAGUUUAAAAUGAAAAUUGCUGAAAAUUAAGAAAAUAAUAUGCAUUUCAAUAUUCUACGACUGCAAACUCAAUAAUUCAUGCGAUGAAAAGGAGCAUCAACAUUCUGAUUGUGCUUAAUCUCGAAGCACAUUUAAUUAAAAGAGUUAUAGAAAAACCACCUCUUGUGUUUCACGGUAAUGAACAAGGACUAUAUGUUCUAGACUCCUGCAACACGAAUACAACAAAACUUUCAGUAAGACUACUCUUAUGCAACAACACUUUCAGGAGUUGUAUUUUAGGAGAUACAGGUAUAAAACAAUAGGGUCAUCAAUGGAUCCAGAUAAACUGUAAUUAUUACAUACUUAUCAAGCAGCCAAUAACACCUCCGGACAAAGGUUGGGCUAUCUUCGCCAUGUGCAUAGUAUACAUGAAUCCUUUCUUCAUUACCAACCUGCACCAUAAAAAAAAUGACAAAAUUUGAUGAACUGAGUCAACUGAAAAUAAUAAUUCCAUAACAAAAUAAGCUAUAACAAUCAUGGUGAAAGGUGUACAAAGAAUAUGUUGAAACAGACAGCAUCAUUUGGUACAUAUAGGACAAAGACACCUUUUCCUUACACCCUGCCACUUUGUUACUUUUGUCUCUCAAUCAAAACAGUGACCAUUUUAGCAGCAAAUUAAC
rnacentral:lncRNA from 1 species